rnacentral:lncRNA from 1 species
UUUUUUUUUUUGUAAAUUGACCAGUUAGUAGUAUACGUUGUAUUACAUUCAGACUCUUUUCUUUACUUUUGUGUUUAGGUUUUUGUCAACUCAUGCGUGUUCUAGAUAUGACUGAUCCUAUUUGGGACAAUGCAAUUCUGCGUGACACCGUGUGAGAAUUUUAGAGUUAGGUUAAUGACCUGUAGUGGAAGUUGGACAUCGUGAGAGAAAGGAUGCUAUGAGAGAUUCGUAGGCUGAGGAGGGCCUUACUGCUGCCGGUUGACGAUUGGCCAACUGACAAUAAUAAUAAUAAUAGGUUAUGUUUUUUUUAGCAUAUGUAUUUUUAUUUUUAUUUAUAUCCUAUCUACCUACCUAUUGUAUUUUAUUUUUUUUAAUAAAAAAUUUAUGUUUGGUCGACUUUUACUUUUUAAUUCUUAUUUAAUUUUCAUUAUGUCUACUUUUUCUUCUCAACAAACAUGUCGACGGUUGCAUGUAAGGAUCAAUUUUAAAUCCUAUAGCAAUAGCAAGCACUUUGAGUUCUUUCAACAGAUGGACCAUCUGUUGAAAUAGGUUGGUCAUAUGUUGGCUUUGUGGUAGGAACUGUAGUGUGUUGUUCCAACAGAUUAUCCUUCUAUUGUAACAAAUUGGUCAUCUAUUGGAGGAACACAUUCCAGUUUUAUGAACUUUAAUAUGUUCUUCCCGCAAAUGUCCAUUUAUUGCAAUAGAUUGGUAAUCUGCAGAAAAUAAUUUUGUGGUAUGUUGUAUUUAGUUCCUGUUUUACCUCUUUUUAUUGAUGCACAAGUUAAUAAAAAAAUUUUAUAUAAUAAAUAAUAACAUUUACGUUAUAAAAAUGAGUUAAAAAUAUCAAAGUCCAUAACAAACAACACAAGUUUUACUAUUACAACGAUCAUGGUGGAUUACGAUCCGAGUAUGUAGUUCUUUUGUGGCCAACUUUCUUACAUACCUAGCACUUGCUUUUUCUUAAUGGAAAUGAUUCUCCGACUCCAUGCCUCCUCUUAUAUUUCCUUUUUUCCGGUUUGAUAGUACUUGGGUCAAUAUAUGAAGGAGGUAUUAAUCUCCCCAAAAGCUUUACAGGAACCACCCAAGAUUGAUCGAGAUGCACCAGAUUAAUAUUCUCACUAUAUGCCAUUAUAUAUCUUUCCAUCGAAUAAUAUGGAGACGAGUACUCAUAAACUUUUGUUUCAUAUUGUGCAUCGUAUUAGGCUCGAAGCCCUGCCAUAGCAUCUGGACAGGAUAUUUUGUCCAAGUUAAAAACUUUGCACGUACAAGAUAUUGAUUGAAGAUUGACCGUGGAAACAUCACUAUAACCAUCGAUACUAAACUUGUAAUAUGCUAUUUGAUGGGCAAAUAACCUAUUCCCCAAACUAACGUUCGUUGAUAUUUGUUUUUCCUCUUCUAGAACAAAUCUAGUUCCUCCAUUCGUGAACUGCACAUUCCUUUUGUGAAAUAAUUUACCAUACUUCUUAUUUAUUUCAUCAAAUAGCGCCACGAUUGGAAAUUCUCUUUCAAUGCCAAAUAAUGAAUUCACUUAUUCAACUAUGUUUGACGUCAUAAUAUUAUACCUAUACAAAAUAAUCUCUUAGUACGACAUCAUAUUAAACUUGUAACUCAAAAAAGACAUUAAAUUCAUAAGAAUAUACCUAUUUGCCCGACAAAAUGCUCAGUUCCAUCUCUCGAAACCGACACAAACGAGAUGUUCUACUGCCUUUAGAUGCAUAUCCAUUAUUUGAUUGAAAUGGUCAAAAAACUCAUCUCUAUUAUAUGCUUUAGCUGCUCUAUUAAAAGGUUAUGACCCUUUUGUUGUGAAAGUUAUUUCGAAUAUUAUCUCCAAGAUGCCUCAUGCAACAACCAAAGUGCGCUGAAGUGUAGAAAUUGAACCCAUCUUUGGGAUACUUGGAUGCCUAUUCGGUAUAAAACACAACUCUUCGGUAUCUUCGAUGCUGCUUUGCAUUUGUUCAAAAAAUAUCCAUAUGAGGCAUCACGUUCUUUGUCCGCUAUAUAAAAAGUGAUAGGAAAGAUGUGACUCUCCACAUCCUGUGCCACCGCGGCUAGCAAAACUCCAUUAUACUUGCUCCUUAAGAAAGUCCCGAUGGCUAUGACUUUUCUCAAAUGUUGAAAACUAAGAAUCCAAGCACCAUAGAAUACAAAAAGGUACAUGAACCUUCCAUUUUCAUUAAUGUGCAGCACCGUCUUACUUCUGGGAUUCUUCGACUCAAGUGUGUAACGAUAGGCAUCGAGGACUGCAUACCCGUGCUCAUGUGUCUCCCUAACCAAUGACACGCCUCAAAACUGGGCCAUGUCGUAUGGGUAUCUCAAGCCCAACUUGGACUGGAGAUCUCCCUGUUAACCCAACCCAAUCAUCAAAUCAAACCACAAGUGUCGGAUAAACUCCAAAUAUAUAUCUAGGCAGCAGAAAUUAAGAGUAAUAGUCAAUACUUAGACAAUAUCUAUCAUAUCAUUAGAGCCAACAUUCUAACCAACACACCCAAGUCCACGGUCGUUCACAAUACCUCUACACAAUUUUGAAGUCAAGAUAAAUAUAUGUCGGGACAUGCCCCCGACAAUAGAUAGACCCAAAUCCAAGACAAGUCUAUAUCACAAAAUAAAGACUAUAAAACGUAUAACUUCCGAAGCAGGGAAGCUCACCACUUCAAGGUCAAUCACACAAACUGCUCGAACAACUGUCACACCAGUGCCAUUACCUUAGUUCAAAACAUCAUCAAUAUGUGACUAAGCAUUUUAUUUAUACAUUUUCACAAACACCUUAUGUGCAUACCUUUAUCAAAGACAAAUUCAUAGAAGAAUUCAUCAUUAUUAGGGUUACUCAAGGCCCAUUUGUUAAAUCACAUACAACAAGCACCCACAUAUACAAAUUAUCACCAAUAACAUCUAUAAACACAAGUCUUAAGAUAGAACCAAAAUUAGUCAUCACUAGACCACCAAAACCUUAUCAUUUAAUUUCAAAAAUCACCAUUUACAAUUAUUAAUCCAUGUGUGAAAUAUAUGGGUUUUGAGUUAUUAAACAAGGGAAAAUACACGCCUUAUACAAGAUGAUCCUCCAAGAAACUUGACUCCUCCUUGCCUCUAGAUAAGCACCCUUAGAACCCUAGCCUCCAAUCUUGUUUCAAGAACUUUUGAGUGUGUAUUGGAAUGUUUAGGUCUUGCCAAUGAGGGUUUAGGAGGCCACAAUGCCUUAUAUAGUGAGGAGACUUAAGGGUUUUUGGGUGGGAAAUGAUUAUAGAGCCCUUGACUUAAAAGUUAAAAAGUGGCCUUCUUAGUGGGUACGACUCACUUGAGUCAAUCGUACCCUAGGGUAUGAGUGGUACCCUAAAUCAUACCCUAGGUUUCUCCUAGGUCACCUAUACUGGUUAGGGUAUGACUACAAAUCAUUGAAUAAUAUCCAAGGGGUACGACUCAUGCCCUAAACUGUAUCCAUCACCCGUACCAAAAAUAGUCCAUUCAAGUUUAAGACUUCACUCUAUACGAUUGGUCUUGGUACGACUCGUACCUUAAGGUACGAUUGAGGGGAGGUUAACUCAUACCUAGGAUAGUGAUUAAUCAUCAUCACAAUGCCUAGGGUAUGAGAGGGGGUCACCGACUCGUAUUCAAUGGGUACGAGUGAGACCCUUAGUCGUAUCUAGCCCAGAGACAUCAAAUGAGGGAAUUUUCUAAUAGUUUAAAGACUAGGUAUUUCAGUUCUCCCCCACUUGGAUCAUUUAUCCUUGAAUGACGAGUAAGGCAAGUAUAAAUACAAGUUACCACGUUGUUUCACAUCAAACCAACCUUUAAACAAGUUAGAACACAAGGUACACAACAAAAAUAAGACAUAUCAUGAUCAUUAUCAAUCAACUAUUUUUUUUCAUUACUAUGAAUUCAAACCCAUCAUUUAUCAAAGACACUUGGUUCAUUCAAAGCUUAGGGACUUGAACCCAUUCUCUACCAAAGACAUAAAUCAAAUCAAGAUAAUUAACAUAUACCUCAAUCACGAGUUCUCGGAAUGGAAAACAAAUGCAGAUACUUGGACUUUAUGUCCUCCCUCGCCUCCCAAGUAGCUUCCUUGGACUUUCAGUUCCUCCAUGGAACCUUUACCGAAGACACUUCUUUUGUUCACAACCAGCGAACCUGGUGAUCUAAGAUCCUCACUGGGAUCUCCUUAUAGGAAAAGGAGUCUGAAAUACCAACACUCUCUAAGGGAACAACAAAUGAGGGAUCUCCCACACAUUUUUACAACAUAGAGACAUGGAAAACCAGGUGAAUAGAGUUCAAACUAGAAGGAAACUCCAACUCAUAGGCAACAUUGCCAACCCUUCAAAAUCAAGUAGGGACCAAUAUAUCGGGGACUAAGUUUCCCCUUUUUACUAAACCACAUCACUGCCAUCAUGGGAGACAACUUCAAGAAUACCCAAUCGCCAAUAUUAAAUUCUAAAUCCCUAUGCCUCAUAUCUACAUAGGACUUUUGGCGACUUUGAUUGGUUUUCAAUCUAUCACGGAUCACCUUUACCUUCUCUAAGGCUUGGUGAACUAAAUUAGGGACAAGCAACUUACCCUCUCCAACUUUGUACCACCCAAUAGGAGAUCGACAUCUCCUACCAUACAACGCCUCAAAAGGGGCCAUGCCAAUACUAGAGUGGUAACUAUUAUUAUAAGCAAACUCAAUCAAAGGAAAAUGGUCGUACCAAUUACCACCAUAUUCAAUCACAUAAGCCCGUAACAUGUCCUCCAAUGUUUGGAUGGCCCUCUCCGCCUGCCCAUCCAUUUGUGGGUGGAAAAUGGUACUAUGGCACACUUUAGUACCCAAACCUUUUUGGAAUGGCCUACAAAAGUGAGAUGAGAACGUAGGACCACAAUUCAAAGUGAUUAAAAUUGGAGCACCAUGCAAUUUCAUGAUCUCCGCAAGAUAUAACUUAGCAUAAUAUUCUGUUGAGUAAUUAGUCCUCACAGGCAAAAAGUGAGCGGACUUGAUCAUCCUAUCAAUAAUGACCCAAAUAGAAUCACACUGGUUCUAAGAUCAAGGAAGACCAGUAACAAAAUCCAUAUUAAUUGCCUCCCACUUCCACUCGGGCAAGGAAAUUUCUUGGUACAAACCACCGAGCCUCAUGUUCUCAUCUUUCACUUGUUAACACACCAAAUACCUAGCCACAUAGCUAGCCAUAUCGCACUUUAUAUAAUUCCACCAAUAGAACUCUCUAAGAUUAUGAUACAUCUUCGUGGAACUGGGAUGAAUAGCAUAACAGGAUCCAUGAGCCUUAUCCAUGAUCCUUUCCCUCAAUCUAUCGACGUCGGGAACACAUACUCUACCUUGGUAUCUCAAGAUACCAUCACCACCAAUCACAAAGUCAACAAUCUUUUGUUGACCCACAUUACUCUUCAUUUUCAUCAAAUUGGGAUCCAAUAUUUGCUUCUUCCUUAUCUCAACAAUAAGAGACAAUUGAGAUACUUGGGGCACAAAUAUACCACCAUCAUCUGAGUCCGUGAGACAAACUCCGAGAUUAGCCAAAUGGUGAAUGUCCUUCACUAAUUCCCACUUGUCAUCAUCCAUAUGGGCUAAACUUCCCAUAGUCAAUCUACUAAGAGCAUCGACAACUACAUUAACUUUACUUGGAUGGUAAUGAAAACUCAUAUCAUAGUCUUUCAACAACUCAAGCCACCUUUUUUUCUUGAGAUUCAGCUCCUUCUGAGUAAACACAUAUUGAAAACUCUUAUAAUCGAAAAAGAUACCAACAUAAGCCCCAUUGAGAUAAUGUCGCCAAAUCUUUAACACAAAAACCACGGCUAACAAGUCUAAGUCAUGAGUAGGGUAUUUCUUUUCAUGAACCUUUCAUUGACUAGAAGCAUAGGACACCACCCUACCAUGUUGCAUCAACACACAACCAACACCGAUUCGAGAAAUAUCACAAUAUACCACAAAACCAUCAUUACCUUCAAGCAAGGUCAAAACUGAAGCUGAAGUCAAUUUAUCUUUCAAAUCCUCAAAACUACCCCUACACUCAUUCGAUCAUAAGAACUUGACCUUCUUUUGGGUCAACUUGAUCAAUGGGGCAGCUAUAGACAAAACUCUUUACCAAUCUCCUAUAGUAUCCAGCUAGACCCAAGAAGAUCCAAAUAUUGGUUGGAGUCGUAGGUCUAGGCCACCUUAUAACCGCCGUAACCUUUUGGGGUUCUACCAUAAUCCCUUCACUAGAUAUAACAUGACUAAGAAAGGUCACAACCUUCAACCAAAACUCACACUUAGAGAAUUUUACAUACAAAUAAUGAUCCUUCAAAGUUUGUAAUACAGCAUGGAGGUGAUCGACAUGAUCCGGCCUCACUUUUAGAAAAGACCAAGAUAUUAUCGAUGAAGACAAUGACAAACAAGUCCAAGAAUGGAUGAAAUACCCUAUUCAUCAAAUCUAUGAAUGUCACUGGGGCAUUAGUCAACCCAAAAGACAUGGCUAGAAAUUUAUAGUGACCAUACCGGGUUCGAAAGGCGGUCUUAGGGACAUCCACUUGCUUAAUCUUAAGUUGAUGAUAACUCAAUCUAAGAUUAAUAGAGAAACACUUCGCACCUUGAAGUUGAUCAAAUAAAUCAUCGAUUCUAGGGAGGGAUGCUUAUUCUUUAUGGUUACCUUGUUUAACUGACGAUAGUCAAUGCAGAUACAAAGAGAACUAUCCUUCUUGUGCAUAAACAACAUGGGAGAACCCCAAGGUGACAUACUAGUAUGGAUAAAACCUUUAUCUAAAAGGUUUUUCAGUUGCUCCUUAAGAUAUUUUAGCUCCACCGGAGCUAUUCUAUCAGGAGGGAUAGAAAUAGGAUGAGUGUCCGAAAUAAGAUCAAUUUCCCUAUAGGGAGGAAUACCGGUAAGAUCAUUGGGGAAAACAUUGGGAAACUCAUUAACAACGGGAAUGAAUCCUAGAGAAGGACCUUCUGAGUUAGAAUCUUUAACUCGGACCAAAUUAUACAAGCACCCCUUAGAGAUCAACUUUUGGGCUUUAAGAUACGGAAUGAACUUCUCCUUAGGCACUAAAGAAUCCCCUUCCCGUACAAUGACCGACUCAUUAGGGAAUUUAAAAAGGACCUUACAAAUACGAUGAUCUAAGGAAGUAUAGCACGAAUGCAACAAUCCAUCCCUAAAAUAACAUAAAAAUUGACCAUAUCCAACUCUAUUAAAUCUAAAUGAGUUUCUCUACCACUGAAAGAUACCACACAUACCCUAUAGACCCUCUUAAUAAUCACAGAGUCUCCUAUCCGGGUAGAACUAGAAAAAAAAUUUAUAGACUCUCAGGACUAAAACCAAGAUGCACCGCCAUAAAUAGGGUCAUAUAAAAUAAAGUAGACCCUGGAUCAAACAAACAAUACACAUAUCGGGAGAAAAGUUUCAACAUACCCAUGACAACAUUGGAAAAUGCCUCAGAAUCCUGGCGAGUAGUAUGUGCAUACAAGUAAUUUUGGCCAGUGUCGGUGCCAGAAAUAGAAGCUAAAGUAGAAACAACUCCCUUUGGUGUCGGAGGAGAUGAAGUAGCAAUAGGGUUCCUGUUGGCCUAAGAAGCAGCUUAAGAGGUGCACUCUUGCUGUAUGUGCCUAAUCUGACUAUAUUUAAAGCAUCUGUUCCACCAUUUCUCUCACUGACCAUGAUAAGGCUGACCAUAAAAUCUACAAGGUGGGUAGGAUGGAGCUAACAGAGCCCCACCAAUCUGAGAUUAGGAACCCAGUGCCUAGAACCCACAACUAAACUGAGAAUGACGAUCACCUAAUGACUUCGAGUAAGGAAAAUUAACUGAGGAGAAAGAAAUCAAACUCCCUUACUUCUUCUGUGGCCACUUUCUACUAUCUCUACCACUUUGCUUAAAGGGCCUAGAUUUCUUCCCUUGCCUUUCACUAAACUCAACUUGUUUUUUUCACUUGUUGCAUAUACAUAAUCAACCUACAGAUGUCUAUAAUUUUGAUCAAUAAAGCCAUCUUGCUCUCGAGCACCAACUCCUAGGACAAUCUCAAAAUACACCUGUGCAUCCUAGCCCUUGUGCUAGAAACCAUAUCAGGAGCAUACCUACACAACUGAUGAAACUUUAAGGCAUACUCCUGAAUAGACAUCUUCUCUUGCUUCAGGUUCACAAACUCUUCUACCUUAGUUUCCCUCAACUCUUAAGGAAAGAAACAGUCUAAGAAGGCCUCAGAGAAAUCCUCUCACAUGGCGGGACUAACAUCCAUAUCUCUAGAUAACUCCCACCAUUCGUACCAUUAGUAUGCCACAUUCUUUAAUUGAUAGAUAGCAAACUCAAUAACCUCAACUUCCAAAGCAUGCAUGAUCCGAAAAAUAUUCUCCAUUUCAUCAAUGAAUCCUUAAGGAUCUUCCUCAACUUUCAUACCCAUAAAUAUAGGAGGGCUCAACCUCAUAAAUUGGCCAACUUUUAUAGCCUCAAAAUAUAGAGUAGCCGGAGUACCACACUCCAAUUGAGAGGCUACUAAUUGAGUCAAGAGGUUUAUAGAGUGACGAAACUCAAUAUUAAAAACAUCCCCAAGUGGUGAAUGAGUAGGAGUGUUACCCUCAUAAGCAAGGUUAGUGGGGACCAGUGGAACCCUAUGAGUAUGGUCAAAAGCUACAGCCCUAGCCCGGGUAUGGACUCUAAAAGUCGGAUGAGAUUCGUCCAUAGGGCCCUCAAAAGGGUUUGUCUAAGUAUCAGAUCUCCUUGGAGGUAUGAUCUAAAAAAUAGAAAAUAGAAAUUAGAGGAAUCCAAGACCUUAGACUCUAUAGAUUGAGAUAGAAACACAAGAAAGGGAAAUAUUCCUAAAUGUCUCAUAGCCCCUCUCUUAUAACUGUGGUGUGUUUCACACCCAUAAAAGAGACUCUAUUUAACACGACAUUGUGAACACCCAAUUGACCAGGAACCAGGCUCUGAUAUAAACUUGACACGCCCCAAAACUAAGUCAUGUUGUAUGGGCAUAUCAAGACCAACUUGGACCAGAUAUGGCCCCAUUAACCUAACCUAAUCAUCGAAUCAAACCACAAGUGUCGGAUAAAUUCCUGACAUAUAUCAAAGUAGUGGAAAUUAAGACUAAUAGUCAAUACUUAGACAAUAUCUAUCAUAUCAUUAGUGUCAUUAUUCUAACCAACAUACCCAAGUCCACAAUGAUUCAUAAUACCUCUACAUAAUUUUAAAGUCUAGAUAAAUAUAUGUCGGGAUAUGCCCCAUACAAUAGCUAAAACCAAAUCCAAGACAAUUCGAUAUCAUAAACUAAAUACUAUGAAAUGUAUGACAUACGGAGUAGGGAAGCUCACCACUUCAAGCUCAAUCACACAAAAUGCUCGAACAAAUGUCAUUGUAUAAGAAGAGAAGAAGAAGCUCUGGCCCCUAUGUCGCAUGGAGACAUAGCUUACAGAGAUGGUUAGCAAUUAGAGCGCUAAUAUGUAACUCAAGGAUAAGAAUAAAAUAACACUAUCAUUUAAUGCCAAGUCAUUACAUCAUAUUCAAUCACAUUCAUAUGCAUAAUCAUACAUGUAAGUACAUAACAUAUUCAUAGAAUGUCACCUAGGGAACAAGACUUAACAGCCAUUCUUAUUGUACUCAUUCAUAUGUCAUGAAGUAGAGGAAUUUGGCCUACCAUACUAUAGAUUUGAAUGUUUUGAUUUUGUAUUAAGCAAAGGAUUUGAACCACAGUUUUGAUUUUGUAUUAAGCAAAGGAUUUGAACCACAAGCAAACUCAUUAGGCAAGUGACUCAAACCACAAGCUAUUUUAUCGACUGAGGGACUUGAACCACAAGCCAUUUUAUUGAGUGAGGUACUUAAACCAUAAGCUAUUUCAUCGGGCAAGGGACUUGAACCACAAGCCAUUUCAUCGGGUGUAUCGCCCUGAAACUACCCCUUGAACGUCACACGAUGCUCAGGAACACAAGUUAUCCUAAGUGAUGUAUGAGCAGAUGACUUAAGCAAAUUUUGUCAUUUUUGAUUGUUUUCUCUUUGAUAAUGCAGGAAAAUUAAGAUGCAAGAAAAUCAAAUACAAUAAGAGUAAAAGAGGUGAAUUUGGAACAAGUGGCCAUGAAAAUAUAGUUGACGACUUGUCUGAUAAGUCUUCAAAUUUAUGAUAAGUUAUCAGAUUCAUCGUUAUCUAUAAACGGUGUGAGAAAGUUAGAGCAAAAGAGUGAUGACAUCUCUGAUAAGUCAUCACAAUUCUGAUAAGCUAUCGAAAAUAUCAUCAGCCUAAGGCAGUACAUGAUAUUUGAAGUGAAGAAGUGACGACAUUAUUUGAUAUGUCGUCAAAGUCCUGAUAAGUCAUCAAAGUCAUUGUCAGCCUUUGGAAGUGUAUGAGAUUCAUCUGGAAGAAGUGACGACAACCUGUGAUAGGCCGUCAGAGUGGUGAUAAGCUGAAAGGCUUGUCAUCAGGAUUAGGCAGUGCUUGAGAACUUGAAGUGAAGAAGCGACAAUAAUUCUGAUAAGUAGUCACAUGCCUGAUAAGCCAUCAGGCUUCAUCGUUCGAUGAAGACAGAACUUGUUCAAAUGUAAAGAGGAGCUAAUGACAUUCUUCAUAAGGCAUAAGACUCCUGAUAAGACGUCAUACACGUUGUUGUUUGUUUGAGAAAAUAUUGUGAUCUGUGAUUUUGUUUCCAUAAUUAGGAUGAAGCAUUUAAAGCAUAUGUUAGGGUUUUCUAAUUAUAAAAGGGGAGGGACAUCUGGAACUCAUUCGAAAGGGAGUUUACUUUUUUUUUUGGCUCUCAAAACUUAGAAUUCAAUUUUCAACUCUUUGAUUUGGUUGUGGGAAUUUUCUCUUGAACUUAGAAGAGAAUCAACUUCAGACUUCAUCAUUUGUAAGUUUAAUUACUUUGAAUAAUGAUUACAAUUGUUGCUAUAUCUUUCUUUCUCAUGUGGAACUAAAACCCAAAACUAGGGUUAUGGGAUAUAUAAUUAUCCCCCCAUGGAUUUAAUAGUUGGUUAGAGUUUGAGUGAUUAUGGGGAUAUCUUGAUAAGUCCUUUGUUAUAAUUGUUAUUUAUUGGUUGCAAACAAUAAAUCCUGCCUUAUGUUGAUUUGCUCGAACUGAGGAAUAAACUAAAGGUAGCAAAUUAUCAAGAAGGAUUUAGGAAGGUUAAGCUCCUAUCUAAUGAUUAAUGUUGUAAAAAAAUUGAUCAACUUGAGAUAAAAUCAGUAUGAAUAGAAUGAUUUCCUAAGUUCGAGAGAAUUAGGGAUUUCAAUAUCUAGGUAGGUUGAGAAACACUUAGAUGGACUAUUGAAACUGAUAAUUUAGUGUUUUCCACAAGUCAUGAGAACCCAAUACUACAGUUAUUAUUUAAUGGGGAUUAAUAAUCAUAGUGAUCACAACCCUAGUUCCUCUCUAUCACUGAUUUGAACUAUUGAAAUUUUAGUUUUGAGCUCUAAAGCAAGUUAAAACUUUAACAUUUGUUUGAUCAUCAAAAACUCCCAUUUUAUCUUUUCGUAUCAUUUGUUUGAAUACAACUUAUAGCUAUAGUUUCAAAUUAGUUUAAUCGCCACUCACAUUGCUCCUCAUGAUUCGACCCCAACUCCAAAGUUUGGAAAAUAUAUUGACGACAACCACCUUGCACCAAAUUGACGUGUAAGUUGAGCGUUAUCAAAAAUAGCAUCGUUGCUGGGGGUCAAUUUGGUGUAUUGAGUUGGUUUGGAAAUUUAACCUACUUGCUUUAAUUCAAACUUGUAAACAUUUGUUUUUAGUUUUCUUUUAUUUCUUAUGUUAGGUAGAUUUUUUUUUAGUUUACUUAAUACUAAGGCAUCAUGGAAUGAACAUAAUCUUGGUGGUUGGAAAUCUUAUCUUGAUGAUCUAUGUCCAUAUUGUGAUGGACCUCACUUUUGGCAAGAAUGUAGAUAUGCUCCCAGAAGAGAGAUAUGUGCACCAUUUCUAUUCUAUUGGAAGUAUGAUUGUUCUUUAUGUGGUGGUCAAGAUGGACAUUAGAGUGAUUGCCCAAAUGCCCCCUCCCCCUAUUGCGCUGACCUAAAUCCUAGUUCUUCUUAUAAGUUUGAUAGGCCUUAUGGUCAAGAAAAGAAAGAAAGAAGCACCAAGAAGAGUGGCAUUGAAGCUAUGUUUCAACGAAUGUUGGAUCUCUAGAAAGAAAUGUAUAAUAUCAUAUGUGAUAUGUGUAAAGACAUAAAGCCAAUCAUUCAUGAGGAGAUGGAUAUAGAGGUCAAUAAUUCAAAGCAUUAUUCUAUAUUAUGUUUAGAUGAUAUCUUGUCUGUGUAAUCAUUUAAAAUAAUAGAAGAGUGUGCAGAUGAGGAGCAAGAACCCUAUAUUGAUAUUGAUCUUGAUGUUGAGAAACCCUCAGUGAUUUCCCAACCAACUGAACCAACCAUGAGAGAUGAUGCCAAGAUUGAGGACAUGGUGCUAGAGGCAAAAGAAGAAACAAAGAAAAUCUCUAAUAAAGACUCUAGCCCAAUUCAAAGUGAAGCUCUCGAGAAGGUGAAUAAAAGUGAGUGUGUAGUAGAUAGUAUAAAUUUUGAAGUAGGAUUGAUUGGGCCUCAUUCAAAGCACUUUUCUACAUUAGGUUUAGAUGAUAUCUUGUCUGUGGAAUCAUUUAAAAUAGUAGAAGAGUGUGAAUAUGAGGAACUAGAAUCCUAUAUUCUUGAUUUUACAUUAGCCAAACAACAUAAAACAUACCUCACUUUAAGGCCGAGUGGUUUACCAUGCUCAAUCCAUUACUCGACUUUUUAAUUUUUGUACCACACCCUAUGAGCGAGGCAAGAAGAUGGACUCUAAGUAGGGGGUGAAAUUCAUAUCCUUAAGGUAGAGGAAAAAGCUGAGUUGGGUCCUACCACGACUCUAAAUUAGGUGCUGCUUGGGAUACAACCAAAGGUAUUUUGUUGUUUGUAUUCGUAUUAUGUUAUUGACAUCAGCUCUUCGCACCCAUGGUGCCACAAGUAUGUUUCUAACUCUCUUGUUUUGGUUUGAUGCAUUGGGGACAUUGCAUGAUUUUAAGUUGAGGGUGGGGCUACUUGUGGGUGUUGAUGUCUUCUUGGGGUUUUUGUUGUCGUGCCUCUUUUCUCCCGGAGUCUUGUUCCUAGUAGAGCCGACAUUUUUAGGCAUAUUGUGUUUUAUUUUAUGAUGUGUUGUGGUUAACUGGGAGAAAAAUAAGUAUCUACGGUAGUUGACAUAUUUUUGUUGUUUUUUUGAGAAUGAUAAAUACCUCUCUAAUUGUCUACUUUGUAACUGUGUGAUGUGCAUCUAUAUGCGACUACUAUGAAUCUUUUUAUGGCAUUGGUAUUAUUGACUUGAUAAUCAUUACUAAACAAUUGCAUGAACUGGAUAAGUAGUAACUUGUGAUAUCCUUGAGUACCAUGUGUGUGUGAGAUCUUACUUAGUUCCCUUUGUAUGUUGAAUCCAAAACUUACCUGGUUAGUCUUACCUAGGUUAAAGUAUAGGGGUAAGGAAAGGAUCAUAGGCUAUUUUGAUAUUAGCCCACUUUUAGCCUAAAUAACCUUCCCUGUAUGCAUAAUAACCCUUGAUCCCUAUUUUAAGCCUGAAUAGCCUAUUUCUUUUUAUGAUACCUAUCACCAUCCCAUUUAUAUCAUAAUGAACUUGUUUUGGCCCUGGUCCUCCUUGCACACUGUGCACCUUAACUUAGGCAAAUGGCCUAAGUUGAGGAUGGCUAUUAUAGGGGUGCAUGAUAUAAAAUGAGUAUGAAGAAAGGUAGAAUAAAAGAAAAGAAAAAAAGGCUGGGUGCGGUGGAAAAGAACAAGAAAAGAAAAGUUGUGAAAAAAAGUGAUUGUAGAAAAGACCGCACCCAUCCUGAAUAUGUGUGAUCAAGAAAAGAGAAAAAUAGAAAAAGGUUAAUAAGUGAGACCCCAAAAGCUAGUGUAAUGUCAAGGAGGCUUAGUCACUUUAAAUAUCAUCGAGUAUCAUACCAGCCCCUAGCCUACAUUACAAGACAAAGAGAAGAUCUGUAGUGAUCCUAGCUGACCUGUCUGAAAAUCUUGGUAAUGAAAAUAAGGGAAAGCCUAUUGUAUUUGGCAUACAUUGAUUGGAACUUCAUUCUGAGAGUGAGCGUCUUUUGAUUGCCCCCAUGGUUACAUAUGUGAUAUCUGAUAUAAGUGAAGUGGGACUUCUUUGUAGUGAGGGCACACUGGUUACGUUGCUAGUUGCUAACUUGUUUGGAUAGUGUAAUCCUGGUACAUGCAUGGUUGUUGUUGAUGAAUUGAUACCAUAUCUUGAUUCUUGUGUGUCGCAUUGUUGUUCUUCAAUAAUAUGCACAGUUGUUUUUAAAAUUAAUUGACCUUGGAGAUAGUGAAGAUGUUUUGAGCUAAAAUGCAUGAUUGACUACCGACUGUGCUUUGUAUCCUCUUAGUUAUGUUUUAGUUGCUUGAGGACAAGUAAUUGUUUUAAGUUGAGGGUGUUGAUGUGUGAGUAGAUACUAAUACAUUUGAGGCUUUUAACUAGAAAUAAUUGUAAAGUCUUAAGAAACUUUUGUCGUUUUUGAUUGCUUUCUCUUUGAUAAUGCAGGAAAUUCAAGAUGCAAGAAAACCAAAGACAAUAAGAGCAAAAGAGGUGAAUUUGGAACAAGUGGCCAUGAAAGUGUAGUUGACGACUUGUCUGAUAAGUCAUCAAAUUUGUGAUAAGUUAUCAGAGUCAUCAUCACCUGUGGACAGUGUGAGGAAGUUGGAGCAGAAGUGUGAUGACAUCUUUGAUAUGUCAUCACAAGUCUGAUAAGCCAUCGAGAAUGCGGUCAGCCUAAGAUAGUACAUGAGAUUUGAAGUGAAGAAGUGAUGAUAUUGUCUGAUAUGUCAUCAAAGUCCUGACAAGUCAUCAAAGUCAUCAUCAGCCUUAGGCAGUGUAUGAGAUUCAGCUGAAAGAAGUGACGAUAACCUGUGAUAGGCCGUCAGAAUUGUGAUAAGCCGUCAGGCUUAGGAAGUGCUUGAGAACUUGAAGUGAAGAAGCAGCGAAAAUUCUAAUAAGUCGUCACAUGUCUGAUAAGCCAUUAGGCUUCAUCGUCAGAUAAAGACAGAACUUGUUCAAAUGUGAAGAAGAGCUUACGACAUUCUUGAUAAGGCAUCAAACUCCUGAUAAGCCAUCACACACGUCAUCAUCUGUCUGAGAAAAUACUGUGAUCUAUGAUUUUGUUUGGAUAAUUAGGAUGAAGUAUUUAAAGCAUAUGUUAGGCUUUUCUAAUUAUAAAAGGGGCAGAACAUCUAGAACUUAUUCAAAAGAGAGUUUACAUUUCUUUUUGGCUCUCAAAACUUAGAAUUCAAUUUUCAAAUCUUUGAUUUGGUUGUGGGAAUUUUCUUUAGAACAUUAGAAAAAAAUCAACUUUAGACUUCAUCGUUUGUAAUUUUAAUUACUUUGAAUGAUAAUUACAAUUGUUGCUAUCUCUUUCUUUAUCAUGUGGAACUAAAACCAACAACUGGGGUUGUGGGAUCUAUGAUUAUUCCCCCAUGGAUUUAAUAGUUGGUUAGGGUUUGAGUUAUUGUGGGGACAUCUUGAUAAUUUCUUUGUUAUGAUUGUUAUUUAUUGGUUGUAAACAAUAAAUCCCACCUUAUGUGGAUUUGCUCGAACUGAGAAAUAAACUAAAGGUAGUGAAUUAUCAAUAAGGAUUUGGGAAGGUUAAGCUCCCAUCUAGUGAUUAAUUGUAAUGCCCCAAAAUUUCCAUCCCGAGAUGUCACACGGUGCUUAGGGCUACAUGUAGCCCCAAGCUAACCCUCGAAGCUAGACACUACCUCAAGGAACUCAAUUCAACAAUAGUCAUGCAUAAUAAAGAGAUAUAUCACAUCGGGUUCAAGAGAUACUGGAGAAUACUAAACUGUACAACCAAAAUAUAUAUAUUGAAUAUCUGUACAUACCAUCCCUCUAGUCUGACAAAGCCUCUAUAUAUCAAAAUCAAGGAGCCUUUGGUACAAACCCCCAACUGACUCGACAGUACUGAAAGCCAUAACAACAAAAUGAUAUCACAAAAAUAUAGACACGGUCCUCGAACCAUGAGAACUCACCACUGAGGAAACAUAAUGAGGCACCCGAAUAUCGCUAACGUGGCUGCGGCUGAGUACCUGAACCUACAUUACGAGAAAAUAUAGCCCAUAGGAAAAUAUAUGGGUCAGCAUUUUGGAAUGUACUGAGUAUGUGGGGGUGCAUGCAACAAUGUAAAUAUCAUCAUCAAUUUCAUGAAAAUAUGCAUAUGUACAAUGAUGUCUCACUUGGCUUGAGUUAGAUUGAAACACACUUUUCAUGAUCUCAUAGUACAUAAAUCAUAUGAUAAAAACCUCAUAAAUCAUCAUAAACAACUAAACACAAGACUCAAGACUCGGAGUGACUCGGUAAUUCAAGAAACUCAACUCUUAUGGACAUGGGAGGUUCUUAUAACCAAAAUAAACCAUGUGAGCUACAUGGAGUCCAACAUUUUGCCCUCCUAAGGAGAGAACCCUACAUUGGCAGGAGCAUCAUACUCUUGCCAGGGAGUACAACCUCAAUUUAGUGAUCACAAUCUUAUACUCGGCCUCUGGCCCAAAAAUAUCAAUACCAAUCCUACGGUGGCACGUAGUUUCGGGGGAAAAUACCACAUUUUCUUCUUGGUGCUAAAUAAUACUCCCAGACACAAGCUCAGAAUGCAUUAGGACACAAACAUCACAAGGGUCUAUCAUGAAGAUCAAAUCUCUUUCUCAUUUAUCAAAUCAUAAUCAAUUUGUGGAUUCCUAACUCCACUCAAACCAAAUCAAUCUUUCUUAAUAUCAAAAUGUAUCAAUUCAUUAAACCAUGGCAACAUCAAUAACUUUGAGAAAAUAUCAAGACUCAUUGUAAUAACUCAAUCUCAUGAAUCAAUAUACUCAAUAAUCCAAUUUGUCAUAAGAAAGCUUAAAGAUUGACACAUAUCUUGAAAGAACUUGAAAUAUUAACUCAUGGUAGAAAUAUGAAAUCCACAAUAUUAAAUAUCAAGUCAUAACUUGGGAAUAGUAAAAUAAUCAUGUAUAACAAAUCUUGAACAAUUUAUAUUCUCCUAGUCUCAUGAUGAAGUAAUUUGGGUAUAAACCCACUUGCAAAAUCAUAUAAAUCCAUAAUAGAAAUCAAAGCUUUGGGCACAAGAACGAAAGGAUUGCUCUUGUUCAAAACCCCACAUACCUUAAUCUUUGAAAUUGGAUGAAUUCUAGUGCUUGAGACUCUAUCUACACUUGUAAUAAAUGAUUCUCGAAGCCCACACUAUGAGGAACUUGGUUUUUAAAGAAAUCUUAAAGAUUUAUGGAUGAUAUUUGGAAGAUUAAUGUUCUUGAAUGAAACCCUAGAUAUAUUUUCUUAAGAGAAAUGGAAGAGAAAAUGAAGAACUUAGGGUUUGGAUGGGGAUUCUCAUAUAUAUAGGGUCCUAUAAAAGAUUGAAAAAGACCAAAAUACCCUUGCAAGAACAUCCUUUAAUAGCUGACGAUAUUUGUGACAAGUUGUAAGACUUCCGACAAGUCAUCACGAAAUGUCGUCACAAAAGUGUGGAAUUAAGGACUUUCUGCUUAAGGUGACGACAUUUUGUGUCAAGCCGUCAGACUUGUGACAAGUCAUCACAAAAUGUCAUCACACAGUUUCCAGGUUGACACGCUGGAGUAAAAUAGGCAUAACUUACUGCUCCGAUACUGGAUUUGGGUGAAAUUGGUACCGUUGAAAAGCUAAUUCAAUUAUCUAUCUGUUGGUGGGUCAUGAGCUCAAAAUUUUUUAGUUUAACAAGAUAUAUGCUCAUUUGAAGUUGACUAUGCUAAAUCCUUUUCAAGAAUUCAAUCGGUAAGGGAUGUUUUGAUUCACCUAAUCCUAGGACAUCUUUGAGGACUUAAUACACAUCACCCUUGAUCAGAAAACAACCAAAGCACUAUAAUUUAUUUCUUAUAAGCUUGAUUCAUGGUGGCACUAUUGGUUAGAGUUCUCGAGGUAUUACAAUAUCUCCCCCUUGGAAACAUUCGUCCCCGAAUGUUGCCAGAUAGGCCAAGAACAAGUAAAAAAUGAGGACAUAUAGCUAGAACGACUCACUCAAAGGACUUACUUCACUCUAUACCUUCGGAUACUAUACAAAAUGCACAAAUUCAUGAUGGAAAUAGACACACAGAUGAAUCUUUAGUAAGAAGGGGACAGAAUUAAGAAAGAAUGGUACCUUCUGCUCGCUCCAAACUUAUAGAAAAGAGGUGAGGGUAGUUGGAUCACAUAUCAACUUCGGCUUCCAAAGUAGCACCCUCAAUAGAUUGAUUUCUCCAAAGAACUUUAACCAAAGGAACUUCUUUGUUCCCUAGCCUACGGAUCUGAAAAUCCAAAAUCUCAACCGGAAUCUGCUCGAAUGAAAGGCUAUCCUGAAUAUCUAAGCUUUCGGAAGAAUCAACCACAACGGAAUCUCCAAUACACUUCUUAAGCAUAGAAACAUGGAAUGCUGGAUGAAUGCUAGACAACUCCAUGGGUAACUCCACCUCAUAUGCUACUUUCCCAAUACGGCUCAGAAUCCUGUAUGGACCAACAUAACGUGGACUAAGCUUUCCCUUCUUCCCAAAUCUCUUCACCCCUUUCAUGGGUGAAACCUUUAAGUACACCAAAUCAUUAACAUUAAACUCAAGAUCUUUUCUUCUCACAUCUGCAGACGUCUUUGAGCGGUCUUCAAUCUUUCUCAAAUCAACUUAACUUUUUCCAUAGCCUUAAACACAACAUCAGGCCCAAUCACAGCUGCUUCUCCUACUUCAAACCAACCUAUAGGCGAUCUACAUCUUCUUCCAUACAAAGCUUUGAACGUGGCCAUCUGAAUAAUAGCAUGGAAACUAUUGUUUUACGCAAAUUCAAUCAAUGGCAAGUGCUCUUCCCAACUACCUUUGAAAUCAAGUGCACAUGCCCUCAAUAUGUACUCCAAAGUCUGAAUAGUCCUCUCAGCCUGACCAUCAGUCUGCGGAUGAAAAACGGAACUCAAAUGAACUUGGGUACCAAGACCCUUCUGAAAGGCUCUCUAAAACUGUGAAGUAAAAUGAGUACCCCUAUCUAAGAUGAUAGACAAAGGAACUCCAUCCAAUCUGACUAACUCACAGAUAUACAAUCUAGCAUAAUCUUCAGCUGUAUAGGAUGAAUGCACUGGCAAGAAAUGAGCUGAUUUAGUCAACCGGUCUACAACAACCCAAAUCAAAUCAUGAUGACGACGAGAAGGAGGAAAACCAAUUACGAAAUCUAUAUUCACUUCUUCCCACUUUCAAGUAGGAAUGCUAAACUCUUACAUUACAUCACCGGGCUUUUGGUACUCUACCUUAACCUGUUGAUAAGUAGAACACUUUUCCACAAAUCCUGCUAUGUCUUUCUUCAUACCAUUCCACCAAUACAUUUCCCGCAAAUCGUGGUACAUCUUGGUAGCAUCGGGAUGAAUAGAAUAUCGCGCGCUAUGCACUUCAGCCAUAAUUCUCUGCUUUAGAUCAUCAACAUCUGAAACACACAAUCUACUCUGUAAUCUCAACACACCAUCUCCCCUUUAGGAGAAAACCUCUACCUUUUGGUCCUUAACUGACUCCUUCAGUCUGACCAAACUAGGAUCCCUGUCUUGCUUCUUCUUUACCUCUGAGACCAAAUAGUACUCAGAACUACUCUAAACUAACAUACUACUUUUAGUGAAAUCAAGCAAUGUAACACCCAACCUAGCCAAACGAUGCAUAUCACGAGCCAGUUAUUUCUUAUCAUUCUCUACAUGAGCUACACUACCCAUAGACAACCUUCUAAGAGCAUCUUCCACAAUAUUGGCCUUGCCCGAGUGAUACAACACACUCAUAUCGUAGUCUUUUAGCAACUCUAACCAUCUUGUUUAUCUAAGAUUCAACUCCCUCUGAGUAAACACAUACUGCAGGCUUUUAUGAUCAGUAAACACAUCAACAUGAACACCAUACAAAUAAUGUCUCUAGAUUUUCAAAGCAAAAACUACAACUGCUAAUUGAAGAUCAUGGGUUGGGUAAUUCUUCUCAUGAGGCUUCAACUAUCUAGAGGCAUAAGCUAUAACUUUACCCCUCUGCAUUAACACACAACCCAAACCAACUCUAGAAGUAUCACAAUACACCAUAAAACCAUCAGUACCAUCGGGUAAAGCUAACAUUGGGGCUGAAGUGAGUCGACUCUUCAACUCCUAAAAACUCUUCUCACAAGCAUCUGUCCACUGAAACUUAACUUUCUUUUGGGUCAACCGAGUCAUGGGAGACGCAAUGGAAGAUAAACCCUUUAAAAAAUGAUGGUAGUAACCAGCUAGACCCAAGAAACUCCUAACAUUAGAUGGGGAGGUAGGUCUAGGCUAAUUUUUUACAGCUUCUGUCUUUUGGGGAUCGACUUUAAUGCCUUCGACGGAAAUAAUGUGACCUAGAAAAGCAACUGACCUUAGCCAAAAUUUACACUUGCUAAAUUUAGCAAAUAAUUAAUGAUCUCUAAGAGUUUGCAAGACAAUUCUAAGAUGGUCGGCAUGAUCAUCCUCUCUUUGGGAAUACACAAGAAUAUCAUCUAUGAAUAUAAUGAAAAACAUAUCAAGAUAUUGCUUGAAAACUUGAUUCAUGAGGUCCAUGAAGGCUGCUGGAGCAUUGGUUAACCCAAAGGACAUAACAAGAAACUCAAAGUGACCAUAACAGGUUCGGAAGGCUAUCUUUGAAAUAUCACACUCUCUUACUUUAAGCUAAUGAUAGCCGGAUCUAAAGUCUAUCUUUGAGAAAUAACUUGCACCCUGUAGCUGAUCAAAUAAAUCAUUGAUUCUGGAAAGAGGGUACUUAUUCUUAAUAUUUACCUAGUUGAGUUGACGGUAGUCAAUGCACAUACGCAAUGUACCAUCUUUCUUACGCACAAAUAGCAUAGGUGCACCCCACAGGGAAACACUGGGUCUGAUAAACCCUUUGUCUAAGAGAUUUUUGAGGUACUCCUUCAGCUCUUUAAGUUCUAAGGGAGCCAUAUGGUAUGGAGAAAUGGAAAUAGGCUGAGUGUCAGGAAGGAGUUCAAUCCCAAAUUCUAUUUCUUUAUUAGGUGGGACCCUUGGGAGAUCUUCUGGGAAAACAUCGGGAAACUCAUUAACAAUGCUAACUAACUGAAUAGUCAGAGUCUCAGACUUGAGCUCUUUAACUCAAACUAGGUAAUAGAUACAACCCUUAGAAAUUAUCUUCCUAGCUUUGAGGUAGGAUAUGAAAUGGCUCUUUGGAGUUACAGAACUCAUAGACCACUUAAAAAUUGGCUCAUUAGGAAAAUGAAACUUCACCACUCAGGUAUGACAAUCUAUAGACGCAUAGAACGAGUGAAGCCAAUAUAUACCCAGAAUGACGUCAAAAUCAACCAUAUCUAGCUCAAUCAAAUCAGCACAUAUGACCCAAUAAAGGAUAGUGAUAGGACACUUCUUAUAAACUCGCUUAGUAAUAACAGAUUCUCUUAUUGGGGUAAAACCAGAAUAGGCUCAAGAAUCCAUUUAGGGUCCAUCUCAAAAUUUACAGCAACCAGAGGUAUCACAUAAAAGAAACUUGAAUCGGGGUCCAUCAAUACAUACACAUCAAAAUAAAAUACACAGAGCAUACCAGUGAUAAUAUCUAGAGAGUCCUCCUGCUCCUGGUGAGGUGGUAUAACAUAGAAGAGAUUCUGGCAUAAACCUCCAGCAAUACUAGAAGAGGCGCCUUGAGGAGGAACUGGACGGACUACGAGAUCGGGGGCACUGGUAGCCUGACUCUGGGAUGAGAAUCUCGACUCCCCUAUCUAUCAUAUGAACAAUCUCUAAGUUGGUGGCCCAACUUUCCACAACUAAAGAAACCCCUCUGAUCAACAAAACACUCACCAAAAUGAUCUCUACUACACUUGGUACAUAAAGGAGGACAAGGUCUGUUACUUACAAUUUCCUAAGACCUAGAUGGGAUAGGCCUGUUCCCCAGCUUCUACCUACUUCUAGGUGUAGGAGCACUAACUGAGGAAGGCGCGAGCAUAAAUGGACGUCUCUUUAUUUGAGGGUGGUUCCCUCCAUAGAAUCUGGACUAAUCGAAUCCCUGUUGCUCUAAUCUAGCUCUUUUGUUCCCUCUUACUCUCUCCCUCUCUUUCACCUUAUCAGCUUCAAUCUGUUGGGCAUGUAUCAUCAACCAAGAAAGAUCCAUCUCCCUAUUAAGCAUAGCAGAUCGAAAUUCUUUCAUAACGUAACUCGACACGCCGGUUACGAACUUGCUCAUGAUGGUCCUAGAGUCAGCUAUCAUACUAGAAGAAUAUUUGGAUAAAUGAUUGAAUCUAAGACAAUACUCCUUAACAGUCAUGGAGCCUUGUCUCAAAUUCAUGAAUUUCUCUAUCUUUGCUUCCCUAAUCUAAAGAGGAAAGAAUCUAUCCAAGAACACAUCCUAGAAUAACUUCCAAGUCAUGGAGCAGCAUCCUCCCCUCUACUCUUUCUCCAUAUCUCCACCUAAUAAUAUUUUAUUUGAUAGGCAGACAAUUCAACACUCUCCUUCUCAGUCAUAUGAAUAAUCUGGGUGAUCUUUCUCACUUCAUCCAAGUAUAUUUGUGGGUCUUCACCUACCUUCGAACCAUAGAACUCAGGUGGAUUCAUCCGUAUAAAGUCACAAAUUCGAGCUGCAGCAGAAUUAUUCUCUUGCAGAGAUAAAACAGUAGCCUGGGCGUUAGCUUGAGCAUUGGUGGUAACUACCUGGGCUAGCGCCUGAAAGGCUGUCCAGAAUUCCGUAUGAGACAUGCUCUUUCAAGGGAUUAACGAGUUGAGGUUGAUCAUUAUUUCUAUAAGCACGAUGAGGAGGCAUUUUCUUUUAUAAGAGAGCACGAGUUAAUCACAGAUAAAGAGACAGCUGUAGGCACAAUAAACUUUAGAAAGAAACAAAUAACUUUUCCUAAAAUGUCCCGUAGCCUCUAGCUCAUAGAUGUGGUGCGCUACACACCGAUGAUCAAGACUCUACGUAACGCGGCUUGAUAGACUCCCUAGGACCUAGGACUUCUUAAACCUUAGGCUCUAACACAAAGUUUUGUAACACCCCAAAAUUUCUAUCCCGAGACGUAACACAGUGCUUAGGGCUACAUGUAGCCCCAAGCUAACCCUCAGAGCCAGACACUACCUCAAGGAACUCAAUUCAAUAAUAGUCAUGCAUAAUAAAAAAGAUAUAUCACAUCGGGUUCAAGAGAGAUACUAGAGAAUACUAAACUAUACAACCAAAAUAUAUAUAUUAAAUAUCUAUAUACCAUCCCUCUAGUCUGACAAAGCCUCUAUACAUCAAAAUCAAGGAGCCUUUGGGACAAACCCCCAAUUGACUCAAUAGUACUGAAAGCCAUAACAACAAAAUGAUAUCACAAAUGAAGACUCACCACUGAGAAAACAUAGUGAGGCACCUGAAUAUCGUAACGCGGCUGCAGCUGAGUACCUGAACCUACAUUACAAGAAAAUGUAGCCCAUAGAAAAAUAUGUGGGUCAGAACUUUGGAAUGUUCUGAGUAUGUAGGGGUACAUGCAACAAUGUAAAUAUCAUCAUCAAUUUCAUGAUGAUUACUUUGAAUGAUGAUUACAAUUGUUGUUAUCUCUUUCUUUCUCAUGUGGAACUAAAACCCACAACUAGGGUUGUGGGAUCUAUGAUUAUUCCCCCAUGGAUUUAAUAGUUGGUUAGGAUUUGAGUGAUUGUGGAGACACCUUGAUAAUUCCUUUGUUAUGAUUGUUAUUUAUUGGUUGUAAAUAAUAAAUCCCGCCUUAUGUAGAUUUGCUUAAACUGAGAAAUAAACUAAAGGUAGCGAAUUAUCAACAAGGAUUUGGUAAGGUUAAGCUCCCAUCUAGUGAUUAAUUAUAACGCCCCAAAAUUUCCAUCCUGAGACGUCACACGAUGUUUAAGGCUACACGUAGCCCCAAGCUAACCCUCAGAGCCAGACACUACCUCAAGGAACUCCAUUCAACAAUAGUCAUGCAUAAUAAAGAGAUAUAUCACAUCGGGUUUAAGAGAGAUACUUGUAACACCCCAAUUUUCUAAAACGAAAUUCUAUAUAGUGCUCAUGACCUCGAAGGACCACAAGCUAACCCAUGACUGAUAUUUGUACCUGUAUACUGCAUAAAAUAUCAUAAAAUGUAGAAACAUAAACAUGAAAGGCCAUAAGGUUUGAAUUGAAUAAACGUAUGAUAACAAAAUAUCUGAAAAGGUAUAACAAUACCAAAACAAGUCAAAAAUACUGAAAAUAAUAAGAUCUAAAUAUCUAAUCUGACAUCUAGUCUGAAAGCCUCUAACUGAACUGAAUAAGGAGUUGAAGGAACAUGUCUCCAACUAACUCCAUCUAGCAACUAAAUGGUGAAUGUAGCAAUAAUCAUAUCAUCGUCGAAUGAGAAGGACUCACUACAAACUCUGAACACUAGAAUGCUAAUGCUGAUCUGUAGCUCGUGCCUCUGAACCUAUGGUGUAACAUAAAAGAAAGCUCUAUAGUGCAAAUGCGUCAUUACGUCUUAAUGUACUGAGUAUACGAGUGAGGAAGGCUAAAUGGAAAGGGUUAUAUGCAUGAAUAAUGCUAACUAAUAUGAACGUGAGAAUACAUAUAUGCAUAAACAACUAUAAAUAAACUAGUGAUGAUACUGACUACUGAGUUUGAAUGCUGACGACAUGACUUUACUGUUACGGAGGUACUGAAUUGAUUAUUGACUAUUUUUGAUAGUUCAAAUUAUGAAGAACUGGUUUGAAUGACUGUGUCUAACAGUCCUGAAACUGAAUACUGAUAACGUGAGCUAUGACAACUGAUAUAGCUAAUAUAACUGUAAUAAUUGGACUAACCAAUAUAACCAAUACUGAGCGACUGUAUCUGAUAGUCUAAGUUCUGAUGGAACUAUCUGAGUUCCAUUCUACUUGGAGUAACUAAAUCUGAGAUCAGUCCUAUCUAGUGAAUGAUCAUGAGUAUAGUGAAAAUAAAAAUGAUUUGACUUAGUUUGAGAUUAGUCCUAUCUAGCGAGUGAUCUUUAAAUCUAAUGAUUCUGAUACUGAUUAAUCAUAGUUGAGAUCAGUCCUAGAUAAUGGGUGACCUUGAAGUCUAUUUAUAAUGAUAAGCAUUAAAUGUAUCUAACAGUACUGAAUCUGUACUACUAAGCUGCGUUGACUGUGUCUGAAAGCCCUUAUUCUGUAAUUGAAACUGUGGGAUGUGUUCAUCUAACCAACAUGCCCCAAGCUAAGCUGAUUGGGGUCCAAUCUCUGCCCUGACUGGAAGGGUAUCAGUACCGCACCACUAGUAAAGACAUCUACUACGGAGUCAGUCCUAAUCUAUCAGGUGACUCCUAGGAUCAAUCCUAUACAUAUAAAUGUGCUAACAGGUGAACCCUGAGUAUGUUAGUCCAAUCUAACGGGUGACAUCUCGUACCUAUGCUGGCAACGUAGUUCUAGAACUUAUGGAUUGCUUCUAGGGACCUCAUUCCUAUUCUAGCGGGUGAGCCUCUAUCCCUAGGUUCGCUUGGUGCUGAAUCCUACUCCCAUUUGAAAGACACUGAACUAAAUAAUUGGGCUAAACUAAAUAUGUUAACUAAACUGAUUAGCUGAACUGAUACUAGUGGUAUUAUUUAGCGGAGCUAAACUAAGUUUACUGAAUUUCAAUGACUAACAAAAUGUACUGAGUUCUAAGGACUGACUGAGAGUACUAAAAUUACUGAGAUCGCUAGGAAUACUGUUGUUACUGAGAUUACUAGGUACUGAGGUUAUUGAACUACUAAGACUGCUGAGAUUUCUGAGUUUUCCCGAGUCACAUGAAUAACUGAAUUCUAUAGACCAUGGCUUGACUGAGAGUAUUGUGAUAACAUGAUAUGGCACUAGGCACACAGCUAUAUUAUUUUGGGUACGAAUACCCCCAGAACUCGAUGGAAGGAAACUAACACACAUGACUGACUUGAGUAAGUGACCAACAUUAACAACCCAUAAUAUCAUAACUUGGGGAAUUCCAUGAAGUGCAUGGAUAUCAUACAUUUUGUACAUAAGUAGGAUUUGCAAGUAAGCAUGGCAUAAUCUCAUAAUACUAGUUCAUGAACAUCCCAACAACAUUUACAAGACACAAUAUCAACAUGAAAAUCAUUGGAAUAUGGGGGCAUAUCAUGAAUCCUUCACUUAGUCAUAAUUUAUCUAUAAUGCAUGAUUUCUAGUCUCUUAGGUAUUUUAUCAAACACCUUACAUGCACAACUUAGGCAUAGGUGUAAAUCAUAUAAUUACUCAUCAUAAAUAAUCAAACUUACAUGUUUUCAACUCAUAUGAUGUCAUAGAUUCAUAAUAACACAUAAAGAUUCUAUCUUGGCAUCAUUCAACACAUAAACAUGAUCAAUAAUCCAUUCAUAACAUGGAAACCAAAAUAUAUAGUUUUAGAAAAGUGUUCUUGAACUUCAUGGAUGAAAGGAGCCUAUGAAUGAACAUUCGCAUACCUUAGAAAGGAAACCUUGAUAAUUUGCUGGAGAGUUCUUGGAUUGGGAAACUUAAUUCUUGAUUAUCUUAGAAAAAGGCUUGAAUCUUGCUUUUGAGAAAUGAGUUUGAUGGAAACCCUAAUCUUGUGGUUGAGAGUAUAAGAGAGGGUUUUUGUGAUGCUUAACUAAAGAAAAAUAGGAAAAAUUAUGCCUCUUUAGGGUUAUAAGUCGUGGAAGGUGAAGGAAAAGACCAAAAUACCCUCAUAAAAUAAUUUCCCAGUUGCUAAAAAAUCAUAGCUGACGACAUUGGUGAUAGGGCGUCAGACUUGUGAUAAGUUGUCAAAAAUGUCGUUAGAUUUGUGAUAAGUUAUCACAAAUGUCAUCACCUAGAAGCUGGUUUCUGCCUAAGGCUGACGACCUUCGUGAUAGGGCAUCAUAAAUGUGAUAAGCUAUCACGAAUGUCGUCACUUAGGAGUUGAUUUCUGCCUAAGGCUGACAACCUUCAUGAUAGGGCAUCACAAAUGUGAUAAGCUAUCACGAAUGUCGUCACACUAUUUCCAGCCUGAUAUUAUGGAGUAAAAUAGGCAUAACUCUUUUCUCCGAUAUCAGAUUUAGGCGAAAUUGGUAUCAUUCGAAAUCUAAUUCAAAGAUAUUUCAUUUGAUAUAUAGUAAACCUCCCAGUUCUACAUUUACAAUGAGUUAUUUUCAAUUGAAUUUGACCUAAGUUUUGACGCUCACUUAAACUUGAAAGAUAGGAAAGCUUUCAACUUGUACUCGAGUUAGGGGACCUCUAUGAUCUAAAUUCAUGCUCAAAUAGAUUCCCACACUACAUAAUUGAUUAACACACUAAAUUUACAUAGGAUUCAAGGAUUUUGAAAUGUCUACGCAUAGGAAUGACGGAUUUUCAUUCUAGUCCAAAAUGUGGGUAUUACAAUAUCUCCCCCUUGGAAACAUUCAUCCUCGAAUGAUACUGGCUGUGAUGAGAGAAAAGACAACUUACACGAAUAUAUAGCAUGAAUGAUUAGUCAUAAUUUCAUGGCUGACAUUACUGAAAACUGAGCAUAGCAUACUGUACAUGCAUAUCUGAUGCAUGGGUAGCUGAUUUAUGAAUGUAUGACUGAGUGUUCUGAUAAACUGAGUUUCUCAAACUGAGAAUGCAUAUCUGAUGCUUAACUGAUGAGUUGAAUCCAUGUAUAUCUGAUGCAUGAUUAUAUGACUGACAUGAUAUGCGAAUGCAAGACUGAAAGUACUGGUAAGCUAAUCACACAUAUCUGAUGUGGGAAUACAUAACUGAAUUGACUCAUGAACAUGCAAUGGUAAAGGCACUAAGAUUGAACAGAAACAUGAGAACAUGACUGAUUCUGCUAUGUGAUAUAUGGACUGAACAUCAUGAAUUGAACUGAACCUUUGAAUACUUGACUUACAACUGAGGUCUAACUUGAGAGUCAACUUAUGAGUACCCUCUAUUCUAGACUGAAUUCGUUAUGCAAGGAGAAACUAAAAGAUCUAAGACAUGAGAGAGUUAAGAGAAGGUGGGGUAUAUCCCCCUUGGGAUGCUAUGUCUCUCUAAGAACGCUUACCUUAUGGAGAUACUGGGUGAUGCACAGGGCAUCUACGAACUAGAUUAUAACUAAACUUCGGGGGUCUAAAAUUAAUGCAUGAGAUGGACUGAACUUGCAACUACUAGGAGGUUCUACCUUGAAAUAGUUACAUUCUCUGAGAUUUUGGAUAGCAUGAAUAGAUUAAAGGAUGAGAAAAUAAGAUAUACAAAUCUGACUGCUCACUGGUAUGACAUAAAUAUUGAAAGAAGGAAAACAGUUCCUAAAAUAUCUCAUAGCCUUCUGCACAUAAGUGUGGUGACAACACACGCAUGUACAAGACUCUACUAGAUGCAACUUUCAGACUUCCUAGGACUCUAUUGAACCUUAGACUCUGGUACCAAGUUUGUAACACCCCAAUUUUCUGAAACGAAAUGCUACACGAUGCUCAUGAUCCCGAAGGACCACAAGCUAACCCACGACUGAUAUUUGUACCUGUAUACUGCAUAAUAUAUCAUAAAAUGCAGAAACAUGAACAUAAAAGGCCAUAAGGUUUGAACUGAAUAAACGUCUAAUAACAAAAUAUCUGAAAAGGUAUAACAAUACCAAAACAAGUCAUAAAUACUGAAAAAUAAUAAGAUCUAAAUAUCUAAGCUGACAUCUAGUCUGAAAGCCUCUAACUGAACUGAAUAAGGAGUUGAAGGAACAUGUCUCCAACUAACUCCAUCUAGCAACUGAAUGGUGAAUGUAGCAAUAAUCAUAUUGUCUUCUAAUAAGAAGUACUCACUAGAAACUCUGAACACUAGAAUGCUAUUACUGAUCUGAAGCUCGUGCCUCUGAACCUAUGGUGUAGCAUAACAGAAAGCACCAUAGCACAAAUGUGUCGGUAUGUUUUAAUAUACUGAGUAUACGAGUGAGGAAGGCUAAAUGCAAAGGGUUAUAUGCAUGAACAAUGCUAACUAAUAUGAACGAGAGAAUACAUAUAUGCAUAAACAACUCUAACUGAACUUGUGAUGAUACUGACUACUGAGUCUGAAUGCUGAUGACAUGACUUUACUGUUAUGGAGGUACUGAAUUGAUUAUUGACUAUUUCUGACAGUUUAAAUUAUGAAGAAAUGGUUUGAAUGACUGUGUCUAAUAGUUCUAAAAUUGAAUCCUAAUAACGUGAGCUAUGAUAACUAAUAUCGUUGAUAUAACUAUAAUAAUUGGACUAAUCAAUAUAACCGAUACUGAGAGACUGUAUAUGACAGUCUAACUUCUGAUGGAACUAUCUGAUUUCCAUUCUACUUGGAGUAACUAAAUUUGAGAUUAGUCCUAUCUAGCGGGUGAUCAUGAGUAUAGUGAAAAUAAGGAUGAUUUGACUUAGUCUGAGAUCAGUCCUAUCUAGCAGGGGAUCUUUAAAUCUAAUGAUUCUGAUACUGAUUAAUCAUAGUUGAGAUCAAUCCUAGCUAAUGGGUGAUCUUGAAGUCUAUUUACAAUGAUAAACAUUGACUGUAUCUAACAGUACUAAAUCUGUACUACUAAGCUGAGCUGACUGUGUCUGAAAGCCCUGAUUCUAUAACUGAAACUGUGGGAUGUGUUCAUCUAACCAACAUGCCCCAAGCAAAGCUGACUGGGGUCCAAUAUCUACCCUGACUGGAAUGGUGUCAGUACCGCACCACUAGUAAAGACAUCUGCUGUGGAGUCAGUCCUAAUUUAGUAGGUGACUCCUGGGAUCAGUCCUAUACAUAUAAAUGUGCUAACGGGUGACCCCUGAGUAUGUCAGUCCUAUCUAACGGGUGACAUCUCGUACCUACGCUGGCAACAUAGUUUUGGAACUUAAGGAUUACUUCUAGGGAUCUCAGUCCUAUUCUAGCGCGUGACCCCCCAUCUUAAGGUUCGCUCGGUGCUGAAUCCUACUCCCAUCUGAAAGACGCUGAACUAAAUAACUGGACUGAACUAAAUAACUUAACUGAAUUGAUUAGCUGAACUAAUAGUAGUGGUAUUGUUUAGCGGAGCUAAAUAAAGUUUACUGAAUUUCGAUGACUAAUGACAUUUACUGAGUUCUAAGGACUGACUGAGAGUACUAAAAUUACUGAGAUCGCUAGGAAUACUGUUGUUACUGAGAUCACUGAGAUUACUGAGUACUAAGGUUACUGAACUACUGAGACUGCUGAGAUUUCUGAGUUUUCUUGAGUCACAUGACUAACUGAAUUCUAUAGAUUAUGGCUUGACUGAGAGUAUCGUGAUAACAUGACCUAGCACUAGGCACACAUCUAUAUUAUUUCAGGUAUAAAUACCCCCAGGAAUCGAUGGAAGGAAACUGACACACAUGACUGACUUGAGUACAUGACCAACAUCAACAACCCAUAAUAUCAUAGCUUGGGGAAUUCCAUGAAGUGCAUAGAUAUCAUACAUUUUGUACAUAAGUUGUAUUUGCAAGUAAGCAUGGCAUAAUCUCAUAAGACUAGUUUAUGAACAUCCCAACAACAUUUACAAGACACAAUAUCAACAUGAAAAUCAUUGGAAUAUGGGGGCAUAUCAUGAAUCCUUCACUUAGUCACAAUUUUGCUAUAAUGAAUAAUUUCUAGUCUCUUAGAUAUUUUAUCAAACACCUUAUAUGAACAACUUAGGCAUAGGUGUAAAUCAUACAAUUACUCAUCAUAAAUAAUCAAACUUACAUGUUUUCAACUCAUAUGAUGUCAUAGAUUCACAAUAACACAUAAAGAUUCCAUCUUGACAUCAUUCAACACAUAAACAUGAUCAAAAAUCCAUUCAUAACAUGAAAACCAUAAUAUAUAGUUUUAGAAAAGUGUUCUUGAACUUCAUGGACAAAAAGAGUCCAUGAAUGAACACACGCAUACCUUAGAAAGGAAACCUUGAUGAUUUGCUGGAGAGUUCUUGGUUUGGGAAACUUAAUUCUUGAUUAUCUUGUAAAAAGGCUUGAAUCUUGCUUUUGAGAGAUGAGUUUGAUGGAAACCCUAAUCUUGUAGUUGAGAGCAUAAGAGAGGGUUUAUGAGAUGCUUAACUAAAAAAAAAUAGGAAAAAUUAUGCCUCUUUAGGGUUAUAAGUCGUGGAAGGUGAAGGAAAAGACCAAAAUACCCUCAUGAAAUAAUUUCCCAAUUGCUGAAAAAUCAUAGCUAACGACAUUGCUGAUAGGGCGUCAGACUUGUGAUAAGUUGUCAAAAAUGUCAUCAGAUUUGUGAUAAGUUACCACAAAUAUCGUCAUUUAGGAGCUGGUUUCUGCCUAAGGCUGACGACCUUCGUGAUAGGGCGUCACAAAUAUGAUAAGCUACCACAAAUGUUGUCACUUAGGAGCUGGUUUCUGGCUAAGGCUGACAACCUUCGUGAUAGGGCGUCACAAUUGUGAUAAGCUAUCACGAAUGUCGUCACACUAUUUCCAGCCUGAUAUGCUAGAGUAAAAUAGGCAUAACUCUUUUCUCCGAUAUCAGAUUUAGGAGAAAUUGGUAUCGUUGGAAAGAUAAUUCAAUGAGAUUUCAUUUGAUAUAUAUUAAACCACCAAGUUCAUCAUAUAAUAUGAGUUAUGGUCAAUAGAAGUUGAUCCAAGUUUUGACGCUCACUAAAACAUGAAUGAUAGGAAAGCUUUCAACUUGUACUUGAGUUAAGGGACCUCUAUGAUCUAAAUUCAUGCUCAAAUAGAUUCCAACACUACAUAAUUGAUUAACACACUAAAUUUACAUAGGAUUCAAGGGUUUUGAAAUGUCUACGCAUAGGAAUGACGAAUUUUCAUUCUAAUUCAAAAUGUGGGGUAUUACAAUACUAGAGAAUACUAAACUGUACAACCAAAAUAUAUAUAUUGAAUGUCUGUACAUACCAUCCCUCUAGUCUGACAAAGCCUUUAUACAUCAAAAUCAAGGAGCCUUUGGGACAAACCCCCAGCUGACUCAACAGUACUGAACGCCAUAACAAAAAAAUGAUAUCACAAAAAUAUAGACACGAUCCUCGAACCAUAAAGACUCACCACUGAGGAAACAUAGUGAGGCACCCGAAUAUCGAUACAUGGUUGUGGCUGAGUACCUGAACCUAAAUUACGAGAAAAUGUAGCCCAUAGAAAAAUAUGUAGGUCAGCACUUUGGAAUGUACUGAGAAUGUGGGGGUGCAUGCAACAAUGUAAAUAUCAUCAUCAAUUUCAUGAAAAUAUGCAUAUGUACAAUGAUGGCUCACUUCGCUUGAGUUAGAUUGAAACAUACUUUUCAUGAUCUCAUAGUAAAUAAAUCAUAUAAUAAAAACCUCAUAAAUCAUCAUAAACAACUCAACUCAAGACUCAAGACUCGGCGUGACUCGGUAAUUUAAGAAACUCAACUCUUAUGGACAUGGGAGGUUCUUAUAACCGACAUAAACCAUGUGAGCUACAUAGAGUCCAACGUUUUGUCCUCCUAAGGAGAGAACCCCACAUUGGCGGGAGCGUACUCUUGCCAGGGAGUACAACCUCAAUUUGGUGAUCACAAUCUCAUACUCGGCCUCUGGCUCACAAAUAUCAAUACCAAUCCUAUGGUGACACGUAGUUUCGGGGGAAAUACCAUAUUUCCCACUCGGUGCUAAAUAAUACUCCUAGACACAAGCUCAGAACACAUUAGGAAAUCCACCACAAAUAUCACAAGGUUCUAUCCAUAACUCCUCAACUUAUCUACUACGAACACUAUGUACGAUAUAGCUAGCCUUCUUCCACUUAACCACUUCAGGGUACUAGUAACCACACACAAUACUUAAUAAACUUCGAAAAUAAUGCAUCCCCAUUUUACCUUGGGCACACCUCUACAUCAUACCUACAAUAUCAUACUUAAUUACGAGUAAAUGAACUUAAACUCUUACAUACAUUAUUCAAGCCUAUGAGAUCACUUCUAUAUAACUAGCAUCACCAACCAAGAAAUCAUUAUUUCCACCUUUAUGAUCAUCCACUGUUCAAACUUAGUGUCUAGUGCUAGACAUGAUUAACAACCCAACCUCACAUACUAUUCUCACUUGGAAGCUAUAAAAUAAAUUAUAAAGAAACACUAGUCCACUAGAACUUCAUAACAAUAAUAAUUGGUCAUAAUCAUAUAAUAUAUCUUAUUAAAAUACGUUAGCACAUCCUCCUUCUACACAUUAUGACUAUUCACCCAUCUAUGCACCUAGCUCGACAAACCUCCACCAAUUUUCCUUUUUUUUCACAACCACGCGGGGAAACCUACAUUAACAAUACUCAACCACCAAAUAUUUUCAUUAAUAACCUAUACUUUUCUAACACAAUAAUUACCAUUAAUAACUCUUUUUCUACCACAAGCUAGCAACAGUUCACCUUAACUAAUAACACUUUCUCUACCUUUUACCAAGGAACUUGUACCACCUUCAUUACCCCUAAGCUAACACACAAGGACCUAUCACCUUGACAUAAACUAAAAAGCAUACAUAAGUUUAUCUCUAUACUUUCUAUCAAUUGUCAUUCCCACUUUUCUUGUCACUACACUUCUAUACUCAUACUUUAAACAAUAAGAAGGUUCUGCUACUUAUGAGUCAUAACACUUCAGGUUACAAUAUCCCCUGAAUACAAACUCCAUUCAAUAAUCUAGGUUCAUACUAUCUCCCCUUAUGAGAACUAUUUAUACUAAAGGAAUAAUAAGGAAUUUGAAAGCAUAUGCUAUUCUGUCUUAACUGAACAACUCAUAUAGAUGAGGACAUAACUUUCAAUUUGAGAAAAUUAUAACACAUUAGCAACCUCUUCUCAAGCCCCUUGUAUGACUUCUGAAGUUACUGAAAGUAAAUCUGAAAGCAUCAUCUUAUGAGGAAUUUGAACUUGCAAAUCAUGUUAUCUCAAGAAUAUAAUGUAGAUAGAGAAUUAUGGAGUAACACAUGAAUCAACAGAAGUUUCUGAGAGAAGAACUUUAUAGCACGAUCUAGAGUAUGAAGGAAAGAAGGCAUUUCUUAAAUUCCCUAUAGCCUCUCGAAGAAAAGUACAGACAUCUCCAUACCAUUCUGUAAGACUCUACUAGACAUGGCUUCAUAGACACCCUAGGACACUUCAACUCUAGACUCAGAUAUCAAGUAUGUAAUGCCCCGAGACUACCUCCUGGACGUCACACAGUGCUCAGAACCACAAGUGAUCCCAAGCUAAUCCUUGUAGUGGCAUAACUCAUGAGUAACUGAAAUAAAUACAUAAUUCUAAAAGAAUAAUAUGAAAGAUAAAUCUUUUCUAAAUAUGAUCAAUACAAAACACUUUUCUGAAUAUGAUUAAUACAAAACUAUAUUGAAAUGAUUACAACUCAGAUUAUACGAAAAAAAACUGGAAUCAAAUACAUUAACUCUACUGACUAGCUAUGAAGCCUCAACUAGUAUUGACUAUAGGUAGCCGAGAUAUGACCCCCAACUAUCCUAAAUCAAUAUGGCUGAAUAAAGAAAAUAAGCUACUACUCAAACUAUGAUUGACUCAAUCCCUUUAAUCAAAAGGACUUAGAACCUGCUGACUGGAAGCUUCAAGCUGUUUGAUUAUGAUGUGCGCGCUACAACUUGUUCCUAUAUUAUGAGACAAUAUAGCAGAUAGACGUAUAUGUGGAUCAGUCUUUUUGGAAUGUAUUGAGUAUAUGAGGGUGAAUGAAUAAGUGAAAACACUAACUCAAUCUUUAUAUAACUUGUAAAGAAUGCAUGCUAAAUAUAAAUGACUCACAUUGGCUUGAAUAACUGAAAGAUGAAAAUUAUAAAUCAUGAAUGAUAAAGCAUACUGUAUAAAUCUUGUGAGCAAUAACACUUAGUUCUAAAAGUUGUACUCUUACUCUUUCUAUUAGUGGAAUAAGUAGGACUAAAGUUAAGUCUGUUUUCAAAUCAUACAGGCUAAGUGUAAAAAGGACUCAACUUUAUAUCUGUAAACUGAAAGUUGAAAUCUCAUAGCGAAUGUCUUAUGUAAAGCAAUAUCUAAAAUAAAUUGUGAGCCUUUGUACUUAGUUUCUAAAAGAUGUUCUGUUAUUCUGUCUUAGGACUUAGGUAGUUUCUUCUAAAAGAUUUUCUAUUAUUCUUUUCUAUUAGAGAGGCUCUUGUAAACGACAUACACUAUGUAAGCUAUCAUAGUGUCCAACGUCUAGUUCCCCUAAGGGGAAAACCUCACAUUGGGGAGAGGUUUCAAACUCUUGCUAAGGAGUAUAAUCUGAGCUAAGUGAUAGCAAUCUGUAUCAACAUCCAUAUAAAUGGGAAUAAUCUGAACCUAGGUUGGCUUAUUGUUUUAGGGCAUGUGAACUAGGACACAUACCCAACUGAUGCUAAAUACUACUCCCUUUAAUCUGUAUGCUCAUUCUGUAGGAAAUCCACUUUAAAACUAGCAUAAGGGUUUAAACUAAAAACCAGUUAUGCAUCUGUUUGCUUUAAACUAUAAUCAAAAUUAUGAAAUAGAUUCCAUAUCUUAGAUGAGGAUCAAAAGAUCAAAUGUUGUUCAAAAUCUGAAUAUAAACUAAUCAUAGAAUUCUUAAACAUUAUCUUUCUUGAAGUAUCAACAUUUAAACUUGGGGCUUCAAACCCAUUCUUGAAACUCAUGUCAAAUCACAACAAACUUCAUGCUCAAUAACAAUAACCUUGAAAUAUUUUAACAAUUCCAAUCAAGAUAAUGAAAUUCAAUUUUCAAUUUAUGAAAUCAAAUCACACAUAUGAAUUUGUGAAAGUAAUUAUGCAAUUCAACACUUAAAUCACUUGUAACAUUAUAAACUUCAAACAGUGAUAAUUGAGUAUGAAACCUAAAUUGAAAUUCAUGUAAAUUUAACUUUAAAACUAGUUUUGGGAACAAGGAUGAAAGGAGUAUUCUUGUUCAUAAACCCACAUACAUGGUUUGAUUUUGAAAUUGAAUGCUUGACUAGUAAGCCUUGGGAAUGUUCUUGAAUGCUUUUCUUGAAGUUCUUGGAUUAGGAACCUUAAAUUGUUGAUUUUUAUUGAAGAGAAGGUUAUGGAAUGGAUGAUCUUGAAGGGGACUGAUUAGGGUUUGUUCUUGAGAUAAAAAAGGAGAAUGAGGGCAAAUAGUGCUCUAAUGGAUGCUUAAAAUCAUGUUUUUACGACCUGGGUUGAGGUGAGAAAAGACCUAAUUUCCCCUCACUCAUUUAAAAAAAAAAUUCGUAACCCGAAUUGCGAUUUGAAGGCUCACUGCGAUGCGGCGUAAUCACGGUGGCUUACUGCCUCACACAAAAAAUGCCAUAACUUUUCACUCAGGUAUAAGAUUUAGGCAAAAUUGGUAUCAUUCAAAAUCUAAUUCUAUUAUCUACAAUUUAGUGGGUCUUGAGAUGAAAAAUCUUACAUACAUAAAAAUUUAUACACUUUCAAAGUUGACCCUUGUAGAAUCGAACAUAAAACUUUGGACGAAUCUAUGGUUCUUAGCUCAACUUGGCUUUAUGUGAUUUCUAUGAACGUUCUUCACCUAAUAAGCACUUCAUACACUAGGAUAAAUAUCAUGAAAAAUGCAUUCAAAUUAUGAAUCAAUAACAUGACAAAUACACCUUCAACGUGAUGCAAUGAGUGUCUCAUCGCUAUCCCUGGCGCGAUGCAGUGGAAUCGCGUUAAGCUGCUGAAUUUGAAAUCCAAACGUGACCUAAUCCUCAUCCAAAAAAUAUGAAACUUACCUGAGAUAUGCUCCUUACACCCCUAAACAUGAACUAACUCAAAAAACCAUCAUCUCAGUGUCCGAAAGGUCAACUUAAAAUUCGUCGAAGUUAGAAGGUCUUAAAAAUGGCUAAGUCAUCAAUACAUAGCUAAAUUUUUUAUUCUUUUAGCCUCUUAUGCAAGAACUAGGAGAUGAUCUAAACUAAUAAAAGUAUGGAGUAUUACAUUGGGUGAGGUAAUUUAACCACAAUCCAUUUCAUUAGGUGAGGGACUCAAACCACAAACCAUUUCAUCGGGUGAGGGACUCAAACCAUAAGCCAUUUCAUUGGGUGAGGGACUCAAACCACAAGCCAUUCGGACUAGGAACUUGAACUACUAGUCAUCUUAUUACCAUUAUUAAUCAUAAUUUGAACUCUUAACCCCUUUAUUUCAUGCAUUAACAUCCACACAACUAAUUUCAACCCUUAAGGACUUGAACCAUUUAUCCAACUCGACACCAUAUAGGACCGUAAAAUCUUCAUGGAAAUAUUCAUUGAUUUAAAUACUUUGUUAGGCCAGUGAGUUAAUUCAAAUUAUCAUUCAAUCUAGUCGGGUGGUUAUCAAGACCCUUACUACCCCAUUCAUUCUUCAUUAGUAUUUCUAUACCAUACUUUAGUUCCACACAUAAUUCAAGUUCAUAUUUUAGGGCUUGAACCCUUUUCUUAGACAUCAAACUAACAUUGUAAUCAUUUAGCUCAUUGAAUGGCUAAAAAUACCUUUGCAAUGCCAUUUAUUGACCAUCCAUACUCAUUGGGCCAUUACCCUAGUUCAAAACAUCAUCAACAUGUGACUAGGCAUUUCAUUUAGACAUUUUCAUAAACACCUUAUAUGCAUACCUUUAUCAAGGCCAAAUUCAUCAUUAUUAGGGUUACUCAAGACCUAUUUGUUAAAUCACAUACAAUAAGCACCGACAUAUACAUAUCAUCGCCAAUAACAUAUAUAAACACAAGUCUUAAGUAAGAACCAACAUUAGUCAUCACUAGACCACAAAACCCUUAUCAUUUGAUUUCAAAAUCAUUAUUUACAAUUAUUAAGCCAUAUGUAAAAUACAUGGUUUUUGAGUUAUUAAACAAGGGAAAGAGUUAAAUUCCUUAUACAAGAUGAUCCACCAAGAAACUUGACUCCUCCUUGCCUCUAGAUAAGCACCCUUGGAACCCUAGCCUCCAAUCUUAUUUCAAAAACUUUUGAGAGUGUUUUAGAAUGUUUAGGUGUUGACAAUGAGGGUUUAGGAGGCCACAAUGCCUUAUAUAGUGAGUGUACUUAAGGGUUUUAGGGUGGAAAAUGAUUAUUGAGCCCUUGACUAAAAAGUAGAAAAGUGGCCUUCCAGGUGAGUACGACUCACUUAAGUCAAUCGUACCCUAGGGUGUACCCUAAGCUUCUCCUAGGUCACCUAUAAUGGUUAGGGUAUGACUACAUAUCAUUGAAUCAUAUCCAAGGGGUACGACUUAUGCCCUAAACCGUACCCAUCACCUAUACCAAAAAUAGUCCAUUCAAGUUUAAGACUUCACCCUAUAAGAUUGGUCUUGGUACGACUCGUACCUUAAGGUACGAGUGAGGAGAGGUUAACUCGUACCUAGGAUAGUGAGUGACCCUCACCACACUGCCUAGGGUAUGAGAAAGGGUUACCAACUUGUAUCGAAUAGGUACCAGUGGUACCCUUAGUCUUACCUAGCCCAGAGCUAUCAAAUAAAGAAUUUUUCUAAUGGUUUAAAGCCUAGGUGUUUCAACCAAGUCCUUGGCAAUUCCUAUGGCCAUAUAUAUCUUUCAAUAACUGACCGUAACACCCAAUUAUGUAAGGAGUUGAUUGGCCAUAUCACUUGUAGAAGGGCCUUUGCCAUUGGUGAAUCUAUUCUGGAAAUAUUUAUCGAGGACCUCUGCCAUGGCGUGAGGAUUUUGGCCCGUGAUGUGCUUCAAAUCAGAUAUGUGAUACUUUUCAUAAACAGCAAUGAUGAAUCUAUCAGAACUUAAGUAUUUCACAGCCCUCAACCACCACUAGCAGUUCGGGUUAGCACAUCUAAAUGAAAAGACAUUGCUCAAAUUAAUCACCUUCUUUAGUCUAAAAUCUUUUUUCAAGCAAGCAAUAAACAAAAAAGUAGAUAGUUCUUUAUUAUCUUUGAAUAAAUUUCCCUUGUUAAAGACAAUCUCUUCAUCUUGAUGGUCUCCUUACUAAGUUGAUUGAGAAGAACUUCCCAUCGUAUUGCUCACAACAACGAGCAUAGGUGUUUGAUCAUCAUCUGGAAUAUUUAUGUCCAGAUCAUCCAGCUUAUCAUCCAAGAUGUCUUCCUAUUCUUCUUCUUCUUCUAUAUUCUAGUUCUUAUUAUCUCUCGAUUUUUCAACCACGUACACCCUUAACACUGGCCUAGCUGAAUCACUAAGAUAAGCAUGCAACCAAACCUGAUCGGUUAUCUUGAAAGGUAGUACCCUCUGAAUUUCAAAGGAGCUGUGCAUAUAGCUAAUGACGAGUUCUUCCAAUUGAAAAUUCAGUCCAUAAUAGCUAAUGAUUAAUUUCACAAAUUCAUCAUACGAAACAUCACUUUGGACUAUCAUAUCUAUUGUAUCUAACAUUUUACCCUCCCUCCAACGCCAUAUAUAUCGAUUGCUCUUCUCGAUCUAUUUACCAUGACAAACCACUCCUAUUGUUAUUGAUCCCUCCAUUAGUGGUACCUAAAUAAAUAUAUUCGUUUAAAAAAUAAUAAUGACAUUAUAAUAAAAUUAAUAGUGAUUUUAUAGUGCUGUAACAUGAACCCCAACAGAUGAGUAAUAUGUUGCAACAGGUGAAUAAUAUGUUGCAACAGGUGAGUUAUAUGUGGCAACAGAUGACUCAUUUAUUAGUAAUUCAUGUUAUAGUACUAUAGAACCUAAAGUUUAUUCUAAUAGAUAAGUCAUCUAUUGGAAUAGUUGACACAUAUGUUGCAGAAUAUUAUACAUCUGUUACAACAGAUAACUCAACUGAUGAGAUAUACUAAAUAACCUUUGAAGCUAAUUCUAAUAGAUAAGUCACCUAUUGCAAAACAUCACUAACCUGUUGCAAUAGAUGAGUUACCUGUUGCAACAGAUGAUUCUUCUGUUGGAAUCGAGUUCAGAUUUUGGUGCAACAGGUGACUAAGCUAGUUUAAUAAAUGACUCCUCUGUUGCAACAGAUAACUCAUCUAUUGCAAUAGAUAAUCAAUCUAUUUGAUUCAUGUUAUGGAACUAUAGAAUCAUAAAUAUGAAUCCAACAUAUGAGUCUUCCAUUACAACAGAUAACUCAUCCAUUACAACAGAUGAGUGAUAUGUUGAAAUAGAUAGCUCUUAUGUGGAUUCAUGUUCAAAUUCUAUCAAUUAUUGGAAAACAAUCACAGUAGCAGUGUACCCCGAUGACAAAUUCAACUAAAAGUCAUAAUUUUACUUACCAAAGUCACCUAUGAAAUAAUGUCAAAGUGAUGUACCAAACAAAAUUUGACCUAAAAAAUUAGUCAAGUAGCAACAGUAGCGGUAACAACAACAACAAUGGUCAGCAACAAGAAGAUGAUGAUGAUAAUGAAGAAGAAGAAGAUAAUGAUAAUGAAGCAGGAGAUAAUGAAUAAAGAAGCAGUAACAAUAAAUAACAAAAAUCCUGAAGAGAGAGAAAACAACGAUGAAUGAGAAGAGAGAGAAAAUGCUUGUUGUUAUUCCCUCUAUUUCUAGUUAUAUUAGGUCAACAUUUGAAUCAAAAUGUAAAUUAAAAAACUUGUGGGCUAUUAUCAAACUUUUCCAACUUUCUUAAUCACUAAUAAAGUAAUUGUCACCUACAUUCAAUUAUUAAAACUUGAGUCAUUUACACCUCAUUUUCAAACUCUUUUGUCACUUUUAGCUAAAUUUCCCAUGAAACUUAUCUUGAUUUUUGUUGAAAGAGCAAUGAGAAUGGCUCUUUUCUAUCCCUGAUAGACCUUGUCAUCAAAAGGAGUAUUUACUUGUCCUAUUCCUAGAGAAAAGGAUGAAUGAAGGUAGAAAGGAUGAUUAGAAUCUAUGGUGGUUGUGUUUUUAGAUCCACCAGAUGCAGUGACUGUGGUUUGAGGUGUUAAUUUAGCCAUGAUUAGGGGUGUUAAAAUGAACUUAAAUUUAGUUGAUCUGCCCAAUUCGUCUAAAAUUUAAUGGAUUAGGUUCAAGAUAAUUUUCUAUUGGAUAAAUCUCAAUCCAUUAAGUCUCAAUCGAUUUUUAAAUUGGGUUCAAAUGAGUCAAUUCAAUCUCCACUUCAACCUGUUUAAUAGAAAAAGAGCAAAAACAUAAUUACCCCCUAAAAUUGGGCCCUUUUUUCAAAAAGAUACUUGAACUUUGUGGGUGUCCUAAUACCCUCCUAAACAAUUUUGAACCGAUAUUAUUACAUCAUUUUAAAGCCACCUGGCAGAGAACAUGAGUUUACUCUCUUAAAAGAGCGUGCAGAAUCCAAAAAAGGAUUUUAACUUUAUUUUUACAAGCUUUUCCUUAUAAAUAUAUUUUUCUUUUUUUCUUAUAUAUUUUAACUUUGUUUUCUUAUUCUCUUUCCUUUUCUUUCAUCUUUUUUCUACUUAAAAUUCUUGUCAUCUCUAAUGGACCUUCCACUUUCAAUAUCCUAUAACUUUUACUGCUAACUCUACCCACCUUUUUUACAAUCACCAUAUUUACUUUCUUCAAUUUCAAGUUGUUAUUUCAAAAAGUUUUUUUACAUUUUGAACAAUUUUAUAAAAUUUAAUAUAUUUCAAGAUGAUUAGGAGUAUUAUUUUUUUAUUUACAUUUCAAUGAGCUAUUUACGGAUUUCAAAAAAUUCAUUGAUUCAUUUAUAAAAUUUUCAAUUUUGAUAUUAUUUUUCUCAAAAUCUUCAUUGCAAAGUUGAGAAAGUGCUAAAAAAAAAAUUUUAUAAAAGCACUCUCUAAUUGGUGUGUAAAUGGCCAGCGAGAAUGAAGGAAGGUUUUGUGGAGAAGAAAAAAAAAAUGAAGCCAGAGGAGAUAUUGGUUGUGGAGGAAAUAUGUGGAGUAGAAAGAGAAUAGAAAGUCGAAAAGUAAGAGAGGGAGAAAAAAGAAGGAAAAAAUGUAAAGAAAAGAACUAAAAAUGAAAAAUAUGUAUUUUUUUCAUUAAGUUAGACGUAUCAAAUUUUAAUUGAUGCGUGUUUAGCACCUACUUUUAAAAACUAAGAUUUGUCCAAAAAUGAUGUAAUAAUAUCAGUUCUAAUUUUUUUAGGGGGUAUUAGGACACCCACAAAGUCGAAGUGUCUUUUUGAAAAAAUGGUUCAACUUUAGGAGGUAAUUAUGUUUUUUCUCAUAGAAAAAUGAAUUUCUUAAUAAAAGUAGGAAAAAUAAGUGACAAUUUUUCCUCCCACUCUCAAAAUCACCCUCCUCACCCAACCCCACCAUACCCCUGCUUACCUUACCUCUACCCUGGCUCCCUUAAAUAAAUUAUUUUAAUUUCUUAAAUAGCUUUUCAUAAAUUUUUUUUGCCCCCAUCCCCCCUCCCUACCCUGAACCCCACCCUACCCCAAAAAUUUAAUUUUUUUAAAAACAAAAAAUUUAAAACUUUUUCUUACCCAAUGAUCAAAACCCUACCUUCCCCCUACCUCGUACCCCCUACCCCUCCCAAAAAUAUUUUUUAAGAAAAGAUAAUUUUUCUAAAAAAAAAAAACUCUUAACUCAAUCCCCAUCCCUUCCCUACCCCCACACCCCACACCCCACACCGCUCUCAAAUUUUCUUAUUUAAGAAAAGUAUUAGUAUUUUUUAAAAAAAUAAUGCUCCCUUCGUUUAAAAAAGAAUGACCUACUUUUCUUUUUAGUCCAUUUCGAAAAGAAUGACCCUUUCCUUCCUGACAAUACUUAAUUUCAACUUUCCACAUGAUAUGUUUAAGACCACAAGAUUAAAGAACAUUUUGGUACAUUUGACUCAACUUUAAUUUAAGGUCACAAGAUUCUAAAGUCUUCUUUAUUUUCUUAAACCCUGUCCCAAGUCAAGGUACGUCAUUCUUUAUAAAACUGAGGGAGUAUUUAAAAAAAAAAGACUUGAUACAAGAAUAAUGGCCGCCUUAGCUUUUGAUGACAUCAUUUAAAGUCACUAUGUGAAGAAUCAAGCUUUGGUUUCAUGGAGGGCACGGGAUCAUACUUGGAGGGGACGUUUUGAGCGUACCAUUGAUCAAACCCAAGUGUGGAGGGUUGCUUGGAGCCUUGAAGACUUAAGGACUCUCGGGUUUGGACCACCUUUGUUGGUUCACGAUUUUGGUUCCCUUUACUGAGAGCAUUUUGGUCACUUAGCCUUAAGGGUAUUUUGGACAAUUCAUAUUGUCUUCCAACACACCAAGGCCCCCCUUGGUCAUUAAGGUCAAUGUAGUCUUUUUGUCUACUUUUGUAAUAUACUAUAAGUAGUACAUUUUAGGUCUUUUCUCUUUAGUUUAUGAAAGAUGAAAUAUUGAAACAUUUAAAAUCCUCUCUCUUGAGAAUAGACCAACUUAGCAUAGUUUUAGCAUAGGGCUUGGAAAAGCUAACAUUAUUUUUUGCUUGAAAAUGGUGGAUCUUGAGGUAAGUAGAUACCCUUGGCGUUCACCGUAAGAGUGUGGUUUUGAUUAUUACAUUCAUUAGGGGUUUUUGAGUUUCAUACACUCUUUAGUUCUUAAUAUUGUAAUAAUCUUGGUAUCACUAUCUAUCCUUUACUUUUAUUGUUGUUAUCUUAUGUAAGGGACUGUUUUGGGUCAUUUAUUGAAUUCAAAACUUGUGUUAUUGUUGUUCAUAUUAUUCAUCAUAUUUUAUAGUUGUUUUGGUAUUGAAAUACACCCUUGUAUAUUGUAUUCUUGUUGUUGGUAGCGAAUCUGAGUUUGGUCUUCACCUUGUCCUCGAAUCCUUAUGAUUAGUGAACUGAUUUAGAGUGUGUUUCAUGUUUUCGUUGUCAUUCUUGUAUCAUUAAAACAUGAUAUUGAGCUCUUAGAGAGUGCUGAAUGUGCUUGUUCCGAAUCUGCCUGUGAAAUAGAUCAUGCUCUCUUUAGGUAUAAUGUCUUAUUUGAAGAUGAUAUAAACACUCCUAAUAAGCCUAGUGGUAAAAAUAAAGGUAUAGCUUGCCUUAGAAGCUAUAGGUGAUAUGCUAACCCACUAUGGUGUGACAACAUUCCUCCUAAGAUGGAAAUCUCUUUUUGAAAGAUGAGAAUACUCUUAUGUAUAAGGAAUGUGUAGUCCUUCUUGAAAACCCAAGGACAAAUGUGUCAUUGACUCCUUGGGGUAAUGUUCCUAAAUGUGCAUCCUUGUUUGACACACUUGUGCCUAAAUUGCAUGAAUUCCAACUUGUGGAUGCCAAGUUUUCUAGUUGUUUGAAAGAAAAAAUGUGUAUGUGUUUAAAUACUUAUUCUUCACCCGUGAAUUCCUUUGCAUGUGAUUCUUUCCUAUACUACCGCUUUGCUUAUGAUGAUGUCCAUGCUAGUUUUGGAUUUAUGUUAUGUCGAGGUAGGAACUUUGUUGGUCUAUCCAUGUGUGUGUGUGAUAAUGCUAUAUGGAUUUUAUGAACUUUAGAACCAAUCAAAAUACUCCCCUUGGUGUGAUCUUUUGACCAGAUAAAGAAUCAAUGGUGUCCUAUGGCUCAUAAGAUGAAGGAAGUUCUACCUUGUGGAUUAUUUGAUGCCAGUAGGACCUAUGUAAUUUCUUUAUCUCUUGGUGAUUCCCGUAACCAAAUCUUUUAUGCACCUUUUAUUGAGACUUUUAUAUUUAAUUCAAAGGAUCUUUGGUUAUAUUGCAAAUAUGUGCAACCUUGGAAUGUUGAGAUGAUUUGUUGUGCUAACCCUAACCCUCAUGCCAUAAGGAGUUUGUAUUUGUUUUCCUUCUCUUUGCUUUUGCAAGGUUUGGAUUCGAGGUCGAAUCCUUUUCAAGAAGAGGAGGAUGAUAUAAGAAUAAUGGUUGCCUUAGCUUUUGACGACAUCAUUCAAAGUCACUAUGUGAAGAAUCAAGCUUUGGUCGUAUGCAGGGCACAGGAUCAUACUUGGAGGGGAUAUUUUGAGCCUACCAUUGAUCAAACCCGAGUGUGGAAGAUUGCUUGGAUCCUUGAAGACUUAAGGACUCUCGGGUUUGAACCACCUUUGUUUGUUCACGAUUUUGGUUCCUUUUACUACGGGCAUUUUGGUCACUUAGACUUAAGGGUAUUUUGGACAAUCCAUAUUGUCUUCCAACACACUAAGGUCACCCUUGGUCAUUAAGGGUAAUGUGGUUUUUUUGUCUACUUUUGUAAUAUACUAUAAGUAGUACAUUUUAUGUAUUUUCUCUUUAGUUUAUGAAAGAUGAAAUAUUGAAAAACUUAAAAUUCUCUCUCUUGAGAGUAGACCAACUUAGUGUAGUUUUAGUAUAGGGCUUGGAAAAUCUAACAUUGUUCUUUGCUUGGAAACGAUGAAUCUUGAGGCGAGUUGAUUCCCUUGGUGGUCAUCGUAAGAGUGUGGUUUUGAUUAUUACAUUCAUUAGGAUUUUUGAGUUUAAUACACUCUUUAGUUCUUAAUCUUGUAAUAAUCUUGGUCUCUCUAUCUAUCUUUUACUUUUGUUGUUGUUAUCUUGUGUAGUGGACUGUUUUGGGUCAUUUAUUGAAUCUGAAACUUGUGUUAUUGUUGUUCAUAUUGUUCAUCACGUUUUAUAGCUAUUUUGGUGUUGAAAUACACCCUUGUAUCUUGUAUUCUUGUUGUUGGUAGAGAAUCUGAGUGUGGUUUCCAUCUUGGUCCUCGAAUCCUUAAGAUUAGUGAACUGAUUUGGAGUGUGUUUCGUGUUUCCAUUGUCAUUCUUGUAUCACAACCUCUUCCCCGUUCACGGCAUAUCCCUUCCCCAAAAAAAUAUUUUUAAAAAAAUAUAUUUUUUUUAAAUUAAAUUUUAACAACAACAACAACAUACCCAGUAUAUUCCCACCAAGUAGGGUUUGGAAAGGGCAAAUGUAUACAAUAUAUACCACUACCUCAGAAAUGAGGUAGAGAGAUUGUUUACGAUAGACCCUCAGCUCAAAAUAAAACAAUGCUCAAAAUAAAAUAAUCUAGACCAGGAAUAAUAAAAGGACAAAAUACCAUAGAAAUCAAUAUAUUCAAUAAUACCAUAUACAGAAUACACCAAGUAGUACAAAAAAAGAUACAUUCAUCCUAAACUCAUAUUAACCUUCUGCCUUAAUCCGUCUCCUCAACAACUUCCUAUCUAGGGUCAUGUCCUCGGUAAACUGGAGUUGUUCUAUGUCCUGUCUAAUCACCUCCCUCCAAUAUUUCUUUGAUCUACCUCUACCUCUCUUGAAUCCAUCCCUAGACAACCUCGCAUGCCUUCGCACUGGGGCAUCCACACCCCUCCCCAUCACAUGAUCAAACCAUCUCAACCCUGCUUUCCUCAUCUUAGCUUUCACCGAUGCCACUCCCACCUUAUCUUGAAUAACCUCGUUUCUAAUCCUAUAUUUUCUAGUACACCUACACAUCUACCGAAACAUUCAUAUCUUUGCCACCUUCAUCUUCUGGAUGUGGGAUUUCUUAACAGGACAACACUUCUCCCCAUACAACAAUGUUGGUCUAACCACCACUCUGUAGAACUUGCCUUUAAGUUUAGGAGGUACCUUUUUUUCACAUAAGAUUCCGAAGGAGAGGUUUCAUUUCAUCCACCCUACCCAAUCCAAUGAGUCACAUCUUCGCUUAUCUCUCCAUUCUCCUGAAUCAUAAAUUAUAUAUAAUUAAUACUAUCUCGAUUAUUGAUAGAAUGAGUAUCAAGAUUAACAACCACAUAAAACUCAUGAGACACCUAUCUGAACUUACAUUCCAAAUAUUUUGUCUUAUACCUACUCAACCUAAACCCGUUCGACUCAAGGGUUUUCCUCCAAAGCUUCCAAUUUAGCAUUAACUUCACUACAUGUCUCAUCAAUCAACACCACAUCAUCCGCAAAAAUCAAACAAUAAGACACCUCACCUUGAAUCUGUCACAUCAAAACAUCCAUCACCAAGACAAAAAGAAAUAAACUAAGUGUCCAUCCUUGUUGUAACCCCAUCAAGAUGGGGAAGUGCUCCGAGUCCCCUCCCCCGAUCGUAACCCAAGUCUUGGCUCCAUCGUACAUAUCCUUAAUCACCUAACAUACACUAUAGUAACACCUCUAGCCUCCAAACAUCUCCAAAGAACCUCCCUGAGAACUUUAUCAUAGGCCUUCUCUAAGUCGAUAAACACCAUGUGCAAAUCCUUUUUUUUUCCUAUACUGCUCCACUAGUAUUUUACCUCAACCUCCAUUCUAAAACCCGCCCCUCCUACCCCUUUUUUAAAAAAAUAUUCUUUACCCCACCCCAACUUCCUACCCACCCACCCUACUUCCUAACCCUACCCAAAUUUGUUUUCUUGCAUUGGGUUUACAAAAGGUAAAUAUCAAUGUGGUAAUAUUUUGUUAAAAUUUCACAAAACCACAACUUAAGAUAUCUAAAUUACUAAAAAAAAAUUCACUUAAUAAAAUUAUAAAUAUCCCUUAUUUACAUUUUCUUUAAAUCUCCAGCUAUGUAACUUCUAUCCUUAAAAUUAGAAUAUAUUUAUUGCCCCCUAAAAAUUUAUCUUAAUAUAUUCUCUUCACCAAUUUAAUACAUUAAUUAAAAACAAAAAUGAAGUCAAUGGGUAUAUUUAUCUCUAUUUUUGUAUUAUUAUCUCUUUAUAUUAGGUAUAUCUUCAAUUUUGUCAGGUAAAAAUAAAGAAAUACUGAUAAUUUUAUUCAUCAUAAAAUGGGAUACGUACUAAGGGUUUGAUUUGCAUCUUUCUUCAUCGGAGCAGUGGUGGCAUCCGCUGGGGGUUUGUACUUUCUCCACAAGGAUUACCAAAUCGCCCACCAUUUCAUGUCAUAACGGGUUCUUUUUCACAUCAUCCUCCUCUUUAAUUAAUUUUGUAAUGUAAUUAGCUUGAAUCCAAUUGACUUAUGCCUUCAUUGAUUGAAACAAUUGAAUUCAAUUGACGAAGGUGUUGUUUCAAAAAGAAAAGUUGUUAAAGUCACAAUGAGAGACAUCUUACCAAAGGUUUAGCAAUUUUUGAAUCUGCGCAUUUUAAUUCGAGAUAUAUUUUUUAUUAGCUGAAGAUACAUAAUUUAGCUUAGUUUUAUGUGUAUGUUCCAGGUGCAUAUUCUUGUAGUUGUACGCCUGAUAUAUUUUUUUGAUAUAUAUUUCUUUGAUAUACAUGUAUAUAGUUAAAAGGUUUCUGGAUGUAUCUCUGCUCCUGAUACAUUUUUUGUAUUGUGUAUCUCUUAUAACUUUGUAUUUCAAAACUCAAUUUUUAUAAUGAUACAUCAUCUCUUACCAUGAUACAUUUUUAAUCAAUAUUUGUAUCUCUUUUUUCAGGUUUUGAAAUUCAUUGCAAAAAGUUGAAAAAGAAAAAUAACACCAAGAAAAAAAGAGAAAAGCUAAAGAACAAUGAAUCUAGAAGUUGAAUAUAGAAAAGAAUACGGAGAAGAAUAUUUCAAAAAAAAUUACAUUAUCAACUAAAUUCCUUUUGUAGGAGGAUAUUUAUAUGUUAGUUAGAAGAUCUUCAGAGUAAAUUACUCUUUAAAAGAGUUAAUUAGCGUUGGUUUUCAUAAUUACAACGAAUUAGUUAUUUCUUAAGAUGUAACAUCAAUCAUGUAUCUCGUUCAGUAUUACUAGUUUAGUUGCACGUGUCUCGCACGUGUAACCUUUGAUUAUUUAAAAUUAGAUGAUUUUAUUUACUGCGAAGGUUUUUAAUGAAGCAUAAAAAGUUCAAAUCACUUCUCAAAGAUCCUUCACACUUUAAUAUAAUAAUGUAAACAUAACAUAUAUUUUAUUGUAAGCACAUAUAUAUUUUACCACCAGAAAUUUCAAGUGGUUAAUGAAUCAUCACUUUUUCUUUUGUCAUGUAGUACCUCUUCUCCUUGCUACUAGAGGCUAAGAGAGACGUAUCAAUUUGAACCAUAUUUGUAGUAAAUUAUUUUUUUAUUUUUUAUGUAUUUAAAAGCUUAUCUUAUUUUUAAAGUUGAAUCUUUAGAAAAUCUUUGAUUACUUACUUUUUAAAAAAAAAAAUUAGUACUUUUUAUAUUUUUCUUACUCUAACGCGUUCAUAUUUAAUUCUAGAUUUUUUAGAUCUUCUUAAAAUCUAACUUUAGCUGAUUUAGAAUUCUUAAACUAAUGAAAAAAGUAUUAAUUGUCAUUAAUUUUGAUGACUUCUUGUAAGACCCCGUACUUUCUCCUAGCUAAUUUCAUCUCAAGAAUGUCUAGUAUGAGCUUCUAAAUUGAAUGAUGGUUAUUCCAUGAAUAAUUUUCAAGAUUUUUGACUUUUUGUCAUAUGAAAAAUUCCAUAAGCUUUCCAUCGAUAUAAGAUUCAUCCAAAUCCGAUAACCGAGUCAGAAGCUACGAUUAUUUUAAGUUCCCGUCGUAUAACAGUGCCAUAUUAGCCAGUAGCGCACCGCGCCACAAGAGGAAAUGGCAUUUAGCAAAUUCCAGUAUGGGUCCGCAAUUAUGGCACGUCACGCCAGGGCCCAAAUUCAGAAUUGUCCUUUUCCAGUGUCUUAGCACGAUUUUCUCCGCAUCGCGCCAAAGUUCUAGGUCGAAAAAGAAGGGGCAACGAGAUGGCUCCGCGUCGCGCCAACCCUCAGUUUCCCAAUUGUCAAAUUCCAGUGACACGGCACGAUAGCGUCGCGUGGUUCUAGGGGUCCAGUUUGGGAAAAUUUUACUGAAAUUAAAUGACGCGUCCAGGGUUAAAAGGGUUAACUUCCCACUCUUAUUUAAGACCUUUAACACGUGCUUCAACCACUUUUCACCCAAAAUAUACUAGUUUCUCUCAAGAACAAGCUAGGGUUUUCAUAGAAGAUCCAAUUUCAAGAAAGUUUCACCAUCAAUCUUCAUGAAAUCACGAACUAAGGUAUGCAUAGUGUUCAUUCAUGGACUCCUUUCGUCCAUGAAGCCCAAGAAUCUCUUUUCUAAGUUUAAGUUUAUGGAUUUCUUUAUGAAUUUCAUGUUGGGUUUGUUUUGUUUAUGUUGAGAAUGAUCAGUUGAAUUCAAAUCUAUGUUGGGUGAUCAAUUUUAUAUGGAAUUGAUUUGUAUAGAUAUAUAUUCAUAUGAACCUAUGAAUAAACCCUAGAGGGUGAAAUUAGAGAUGAAUCAUGAUGAUUAAUUAUUGUAUAAUGUUGUCUACAUGUGCUAUGCCUACCAUGUAGAUGAUUAAAUGCCUAGAUGAAGGAACAAUGCCCAACUAGUAUGAUAUCAUGAAAUCCCUAUGUAUGUACAAGUUAUGCCUAUCACAUGUUUUGAUGGAAUGCUUCUAUAAAUGUAUUAUGGAUUAUGAUGUUAGUUAUAUGUUCAAGUAAGUUAUGCUGGGUCAGUUUCCUUCCAUCUAGUCCUGUGGUACUUGUACCCGAAAUAUUAGUUGUGUGCCUAGAGCCAUGUCAUGUUUCCACAAUACUCUCAUUCAAGCUAUGAAUCCUUAGACUUCAGACAGUCUUAUGACUCAGUGAAUGUCCAUGAUCUCAUGAACUUAGUAAGUUGUCAGAUAUCAGUAAUAUUCCUUCAGUCAACGGAAUUCAGUAACUCAUUCCUUGUUCAGUUUAGUAAAUUAUAUUCAGUGUCUAUUCAGAUGGGUGUAGAAAUUAGCAUCGAGUGAACCCAAGGAUGGGAACUCACCUGUGAUUCUUAGAAGCAAUCCUUGCGUUCCACAACUAUAUAGCCAACAUAGGAUGAGACAUCAUAGCCUGCUAUAUGAGGGUAGAUGAGGUGGCUUAGCCUGCUAUAUGAGGGUUCCCACCAUUCUCACUAGAGUUAUCUGUUAUAUUAGGGUCACUCACAUGUUGUCCUUACCAGUGAUGUGGUAUUGACACCCUUCUAAUCAGGGCAUAGAUUGGACCCCAAUUUGGCUAUAAUGCAUCAUUUGGGGCAUGUCGGUUAGAUGACUACCUCCCACAAUCUCAAUAUCAGUCUCAGUGAAAUAACUCAGAUAGUUCUUCAAAAUUCAGGGUUAUCAGAUACAGUUAACUCAGACACAGUACAGAACUCAGAUAGUUCCAUCAGAUUCAGGACUAUCAGAUACAGUCACUCAUGUUAAAAGUUAUAUUUAGAUUCAGUAAUCAUAUUAUCAUAGUCUUAGUGUCAGUUGUUAUAUCCCAUGUAUAUAUUCUCACGCUCACGAUAGUUAGUCAGUUAUUAUUAUUGUUCAUGCAUAUGAACCCCAUGCAUUCAAACCACCUCACAUACAUACAAUUACAUUUAAAGUACUGAUGCAUUUGCGCUAUGGUGUCUUAUACCAUAGGUUUAGAGACACGAGCUCCAGAUCAGCAGUAAAUUCCAGUUUCAGCAGCCAGAGCUAGAAGUGAGUCCUCAUCAUUCGAGGACCUGAUUAUUCCCUAUUAUCUCAUUAACUAGUUUAUUAGUUGGAGUUAGUUGGGGAUAUGUCCCAUCUACUCCUUACUCAGAUAGUUCAGUCCGUUAGAGGCUUUCUAGACUAUCAUGUUUCAGACUUCAGUAUUUUCAGUUUUAUUUUUUUGGUAUUUUAUACCCCAUUUAGAUGUUAUGUUUUACUUUAGUUAUGUGAACCUUAUGACCUUUCAGUUCAUGUUUAUGCAUUAUUCAGUAUUUUAUGCAGUAUACAGGUACAGAUACCAGUCAUGGGUUAACUUGUGGUCCUUUGGGGUCAUGAGCACCGUGUAGUUUUUCGAUUCAGCAAAUCGGGGUGUUACAAACUUGGUAUCAAAGCCUACGGUUCAAUAGAGUCCUAGGAAGCCUGAAAGUCGUAUCUAGUAGAGUCUUGUACAUAGGUGUAUUGUUCGCCACAUUUAUGUGCAAGAGGCUAUGAGAUAUUUAGGAACAGUUUCCCUUCUUUUAGUAUUCAUGUCGUGCCAGUGAGCAUAAUCACAAGUUAAUCUCUCAGUCUAAUCUGCUUCUACUCUUUAUUUCAGAAUAUGACUCCUAAGAGAAGAAAUCAGUUAGCCCCUUAGCUCGAAGAACCUUUGGGCGAUAUGUUUCUUAUGCGGAGUUCAGGACCGCAUUUACCACUCUUGCUCAGUUAGUAGCUACCCAUAAUGAGCGACCACCUAUUAUUUCAACCAACCCAAUGUCCAAUUCAGCUGCAGCCAGGAUUCGGAAUUUCACCCGAAUAAAUCCUCCAUCCUUUCUCGGGUCUAAGACAAAUGAGGACCCUCAGGAAUUCCUAGAUCAAGUGCAAAAGGUGACAGACAUCAUAGAGGUGACUACUGUUGAGAGUGUUGAGCUAGCUGCAUAUCAGCUGCAGGAUGUUGCUCACACUUGGUUCAAGCAGUGAAAGUCAGAGAGGGCAAAUGAUGCAGGGCCAGUUGAGUCGGAGAAGUUUGCAUCUGCUUUCUUAGAUAGAUUCUUUCCCCUAGAGCUUAGGAAAGCUAAGGUGUUAGAAUUCAUCAACCUCAUACAGGGCAAUAUGAUAGUGAAAGAGUAUUCUCUUAAGUUUACUCAAUUAUCCAGAUAUGUCCCUCAUGUGAUUGCAAACAGCAGAGCCAAGAUGAGUAAGUUCAUUUCAGGGGUCAAUGAUAGCAUGGUUAAUGAGUGCAGAUUCACCAUGCUAAAUAGUGAUAUGAAUUCAGCCAGGCUUAUGACUCAUGCUCAGUAGAUUGAGGAGCAAAAGAUUAAGAUGAGGGAGAAGCAGAAUAAGAGAGUGAAGACAGGUAGUUUCAACUUCACUCAGCCUAAGUCAGAAGGAGGAAACCAUUCUUAGUUUCUUUCUAAGUGAUCAGUUCCAUCUCCUUCUUCAUCCAGUGCUCUAAUUCCUAAGUUCAGAGAGGGUAACAAAGAUAGAGUGCCAGGCUCUAAGACCCAGGGCAGUGUUAGCAGUGCCCGCACCUAUCCUCUUUGCCAGACUUAUGGCAAGCACCAUCGGUGUAUUUACAGAGCUGGAAGUGGUAUUUGUUUCAGAUGUGGCAAGCCAGGCCACAAAUUCAGAGACUGUCAUCAGUCAGGUCCUCAGGGUCAAUAUAAUCGCUCCUCAGCUCAGUCCGAUCGCCCAAAUCAGUAGGGUGCCACCUCCAGUGCUACUAGUGGGCAAUUCCUAAAUCAUUUCUAUGCUCUUUAAUCUCGACAAGAUUAGGAAAAUUCUCCUGAUAUAGUUAUUGGUACAUUACAAAUCUUUCAUGUGCAUGUUUACUCUUUGCUAGAUCCAGGAGCUUCUUUGUCUUUUGUUACUCCCUAUAUAGCAGGCGAUUUUGAAAUCAGUCUUGAAAUCCUAGCAGAGCCUUUUUCAAACUCUACCCCAGUGGGUAAAGCCAUCAUAGCCCGAUGGGUAUACAGGGACUUCCCGGUUAUGAUAUUUUGGAAAGUCACUUCAGCAGACUUAGUCGAAUUAGAGAUGACUAAUUUUGACGUCAUUCUCACGUGGAUUAGCUUUAUUCCUGCUAUGCCACAGUCGACUACAAAAAUAGAAUAUUCCAGUUUCAGUUCCUAAAUGAACCCAUCCUUGAGUGAAAGGGUAGUGUAUCUGCUUUCAGGUGUCAGCUUAUUUCCUACCUUCAGGCAAGGAAAAUGAUAACUAAAGGAUGUGUCUAUCAUCUUGUUCGAGUUAAGGACACUAGUUCCAAAACUCCCAGCCUUGAAUCAGUCCCAGUAGUGAAUGAAUAUUCAGAUGUCUUUCCCGAAGAUCUUCCAGGAAUUCCUCCCGAAAGGGAAAUAGACUUCGGCAUUGAUCUUCUUCCAAAUACUCAGCCUAUCUCUAUAGAAAAACUCAGAGAACUAAAAAAAAAUUAAAGUAUCUCUUAGAUAAGGGAUUUAUCAGGCUCAGCAUUUCCCCGUGGGGCGCUCCAGUAUUAUUCGUGCGCAAGAAAGACGGUUCUCUCAUAAUGUGUAUAGACUACCGCCAACUCAAUAAGGUCACGGUCAAGAAUAAGUAUCCUUUUUCCCAGAAUCGAUGACUUGUUUGACCAACUUCAGGGUGCCAGUUAUUUCUCUAAGAUAGAUCUCAAAUUUGGCUAUCAUCAGCUCAGAGUUAGGGAAUGUGACAUUCCAAAAUCAGCUUUCCGAACUUGCUAUAGUCACUUCGAAUUUCUAGUCAUGUCAUUUGGUCUUACCAACACCCCAGCAGCUUUCAUGGACUUGAUGAACCGUGUGUUCAAGCAAUACUUGGACAUGUUCGUCAUAGUCUUCAUAGAUAAUAUUCUGGUCCAUUCCCACAGUAAGCGUGAUCAUGCAGACCAUCUCAGGACAGUACUUCAGACUCUCAGAGAUCAUCAGCUAUUCGCCAAAUUCAAUAAGUGCGAAUUUUGUCUAAGGUCAGUAGAAUUCCUUGGUCACAUCAUUUUCGGUGAUGGCAUUAGAGUUGAUCCUCAAAAGACCGAAGUAGUAAGAAACUGGCCCAGACUUGUCUCUCUAUCAGCUAUUAGGAGUUUCUUAGGUUUGGCUGGCUAUUAUAGACGGUUUGUUGAGGGAUUUUGUUCUAUUGCAUCCCCUAUGACCAGAUUGACUCAGAAAAAAGUCAAGUUUCAGUGGUCAAAUCCUUGCGAGAAGAGUUUUCAGGAGUUGAAGACUCGACUUACCUCAGCUCCAAUUUUAGCUCUUCCAGAUGGUCCAGAUGGGUUCAUAGUGUAUUUUGAUGAAUCCAGAGUAGGUUUGGGUUGUGUCCUUAUGCAGCAUGGUAAGGUCAUAGCCUACACCUCUAGACAGCUUAAGCCCCAUAAGAAGAAUUACCCUACUCAUGAUCUUGAGUUAGCAGCCGUAGUAUUUGCCUUAAAUAUUUGGAUGCAUUAUCUAUACGGUGUUCAUAUAGAUGUGUUCCACAGAUUAUAAGAGUCUCCAAUAUAUCUUUUCUAAAAAAGAUCUCAAUUUUUGUCAAAGAAGGUGGUUAGAGCUCUUGAAAGAUUAUGACAUGAGUGUCCUCUAUCAUCCGGGCAAGGCCAACGUAGUGGCCGACGAUCUUAGUAGACUGUCCAUAGGUAGUGUUUCUCAUUUUGAGUACCGUAAGAAGAAGUUAGCCCAGGAAGUACAUCAACUUGCCAGACUAGGCGUUCGUUUAGUCGAUACAAAAGAGGGUGAUAUAUGGGUUCAAACUAGUUCAAAAUCAUCUCUAGUUUUUGAGGUAAAAGAAAAGCAAGAUAAAGAAAAGUAAGAUAGAGAUCCCAGCCAUGUCAAGUUAAAAGAGUCAGUUCAAGAUCAGAAAGUAGAGGUUUUCUCCCAAGGGGGAGAUAGUGUCCUUCGUUGUCAGGGUCAUGUCUGUGUUCCGGGUGUAGAUGACUUAAGGCAGCAAAUUCUGGUCGAAGUGCAUGGUGUGCGUUACUCUAUUCAUCCAGGGGAUACAAAGAUGUACCAUGACUUGUGGGAGAUCUAUUGGUGAAAUGGGAUGAAGAGAGAUAUUGCAGAGCUUGUUGCUAAGUGCUCUACAUGUAUGCAAGUUAAGAUAGAGCAUCAGAAGCCUAGUGGGUCCAUACAGGAGCUCAGUAUUCCUACUUGGAAGUGGGAAGUUGUGAACAUGGACUUCGUGAUGGGUUUGCCUUGAACUCGUCAUCAGCGCAAAUUAUUUUGGGUCAUUGUAGAUAGAAUGAACAAAUCAACUCAUUUCCUUCCAGUUCAUACCUCUUAUUCGGCUAAGGAUUAUGCCAAGCUCUACAUCAAGGAGCUGGUCAGAUUGCACUGUAUUUUGUUGUCUAUUAUCUCAGACAGAGGUACCCAGUUCACCUCACUUUUGUAAAGCACUCCAAAAGGGUCUUGGUAGUCAAGUUUAUCUUAGUACAUUCUUUCAUCCUCAGAUAGAUGUUCAACCAGAAAGUACCAUUCAGACCUUAGAAGAUAUGCUAAGAGCGUGUGCAAUUGAUUUCAAGGGAAGUUGGGAUGACCACUUGCCUUUGAUUGAAUUUGCAUACAAUAAUAGCUAUCAUUCCAGUAUUCGGAUGGCUCCAUUCGAAUCUCUCUAUGGUAGGAGAUGUAGAUCUCCAAUUGGUUGGUUUGAAGUUAGUGAGGCCUCAGUCAUAGGGCCUGACUUAGUAUUCGACGCCUUAGAAAAAGACUAGUUGAUUAGAGAAAGACUCCGAGCUACUUAGAGCCAAUAGAAGUCUUAUGCAGAUGUUCAUAGAAAAUAUCUCGAGUUUGAGAUUGGUGACUAUGUCUAUCUCAAGAUCUCUCCCAUGAAGGGAGUAAAGCGAUUCGGCAAGAAAGGGAAACUUAAUCCCCGAUACGUCAGUCCCUUCAAGAUUUUUAGUCAAUUCGGCAAGGUAGCUUAUAAGCUUGAAUUGCCUUCAGAUCUAGCCUCGAUUCAUCCGGUCUUUGAUGUCUCUUUGCUCAAGAAGUGCAUAGGUGACCCCUUAGUUGUAGUUCCUAUUCAGAGGAUUGAUGUUCAGAACACUCUCUCUUAUGAACAGAUUCCAUUCAAAAUCUUAGAAUAUUAGAGUCGUAGAUUAAGGAACAAAGAAAUCCCUCUAGUUAAGGUUCUUUGGUGAAAUCAGUCCGUCGAGGGAGCUACUUGGGAAGCAGAGGCAGACAUGCGUACCAAGUAUCAUCAUCUCUUCUUUGCCAACUCAGAUCAAGCUCAAGGUAACCGUUCUCCUUAAGCUUACUCAGUUUCAUGUUCAGUGUUCAUCACAAACUUGGUAUGCAGUGUCAUGCUCAUGUUCCCAUUAUAAACUUGGUAUUAAGUACCAUUGCAUACUCAGUUAUGCAUUAAUGAAUCAGUUACACAUGCAUCAUAUAUGCAUGUACAGUAUUAUCUGUUCAACUUGUCAGUCAUGAGAUCAUGUUCCAGUUAUUCAUGUUCAGUAUGUACAUCAGUUGUCUUUUUUUCCCUCUCAGUCAGUCUCAUUCGAGGACGAAUGUUCUCGAAGGGGAGAUAUUAUAAUACCCUAUACUUUUUCCUAGCUAAUUUCAUCUCAAGAAUGUAUAUUAUUAGCUUCUAAAUUGAAUGAUGGUUAUUCCAUGAAGAAUUUUCAAGAUUUUCACUUUUUGUCAUGUGGGAAAUUCCAUAAUCUUUACAUCGAUGUAAGAUUCGCCCAAACUCCGAUAACCGAGUCAGAAGUUACGAUUAUUUUAAGUUUCCGUCGUAAAAAAGUUCCAUAUUAGUCAGUGGCGUGCCGCGCCACAAGAGAAAAUAGAAUUUAGGAAAUUCCAGUAUGUGUCAGUGAUUAUGGCGCAUUGCGCCAGGGCCCAAAUUCAGAAUUGUCCUUUUCAAGUGUCUUAGCGCGAUUUCCUCCGCAUCCUGCCAAAGUUCCAGGUCGCAAAAUAAGGGGCAAUGCGAUAGCUCCGCGUUACGCCAACGCUUAGUUUCCCAAUAGUCAAAUUCCAGUGACAUGGCGUGAUAGCGCCACAUAGCACCCGGAGCCCAGUUCAGAAAAAUUACUGGAAUUAAAUGAAGCAUCUAGGAUUAAAAGGGUCAACUUCCCACCCCUAUUUAAGCUCUUUAACACGUGAUUCAGCAAUUCUUCACCCAAAAUGCACUCUCUUCUCUCAAAAACCUCUCAAGAACAAGCUAGAUUUUGAAAAAAGUUGGUAUAGGGUGUAAUUAUGGUUAAACUAGUUAGGAUUUAUGUAGAACUCCCUAAUAUUUUUUGGAAAAAUUACAAAAACUAGGAUACUUAAACCUUAAUUACAAUACAUAGCAACACUUUCUCAAAAUUAUAAGUUAUAGAAAAAGUAAUAAUAUUUUAAAUAUUAUAUUGAAAAGCGUGUGGAUUUCACCCACUUUUUUACCUUUUUCUAUUUUCACUCCAUUUUUUUCAAUUCCCUCCCAUAUUUCACUCCACUUUUUUCGAUUUCCUCCCAUAUUUCACUUCACUUUUUUCAAUUCACUCCCAUAUUUCACUCUACUUUUUUUAAUUUCUUUUUUUUUCAAAACUGUGAUCCAUCAAAUAAGGUAAGUUGAUAUUUAUAGUAUCUGCAUGAUAUCUUUUCAUAUAAUUUAUAUUUUAUUUUUCUUAUUUUUUUCUUCAUCCGUCUUCUUCGUUCUUUUUUUUGGGGGGGGGGGCGGGGGGAGGUUGGGGUUUUUUUUGUUUAAAUAUUAUGGAGGUCUACUAUAAUGGAGGGAUACAUUAUUCGAUGUAGGUCUGCUGUAACGUUUUCUACGUUAUUUGAUGGGCUUUUGUGACUUUUUUUGGUUGAAAGAUUGUGGAGUUUUGUGUUAAGUUGAUUUCUACUCCUAUUCAGUUGAACGGAGAAGUUGACAUAGAAGAGGCGAGAUCGAAGCAUUGUGACGAUCCAAAAAAUAUCAAAAAAAUUAUGAAACGAAAAACAUUGAGAAAACCUUCAUAUCCAAAAUUCCAUAAAGUGUAAAAAUAUGUGAAAAAGAGGAAGUCAAACGAUUGUGACGAUCCGAAAAAUAUUGGAAAAAUCAUGAAGCGGAAAAUAUUGAGAAAACCUUCAUAUCCAAAAUUCCAUAAAGUGUAAAAAUAUGUGAAAAAGAGGAAGUCAAACGAAAAGAAAGAAUAUGUAUUUUUGCAGUUGUGCAUAUGUAUUUAUGAGUAGUGCAUACAUAUUUUUUCGGUUAUGCAUAUAUAUUUAUGAAUAAUACAUAUGUAUUUUACCAGAUUGUAUAUGUAUUUAUGACUAAUACAUAUGUAUUUUUUCAGAUAUGCAUAUGUAUUUUUUAAUAAUACAUAUGUAUUUUCUAAUUAUUCAUACGUUUUUAUGGGGCUGCAUGCUAUAUUUAUUGAUUUGGAAAUAUAUUUUUAGUUCUUUUUAGGUUUUUAUAGAUGCAUAUGUAUUUAUGAAUAAUACUUCCUCCAUCCCAAAUUGAGACGGCACAUUGAUUAAGAAAAACAAUUAAUAACAUAGCUAGUUUACCAUAGUAUCCCUAUUAAAUGAUGUUUACAUUUUAAUUUGAAGAAAAAGUAAUUCAUGCAAAGGGUAAAACCUGAAAAAAAAAAAAUUGUCUCUUCUUGAUUAAUGAAAAAAGACAAGUAAAAUGAGAAAUCAAAUUAAAAAAAUUUUGACGGGUAAUUUGGGACGAAGGGAGUACAUAUGUACUUUUUCAGUGUGCAUAUGUACUUAUGACUAAUGCAUAUGUAUUUUUUUAGUUAUGCAUAUUUAUUUAUAAAUAACGCAUAUGUAUUUAUGAUUAAUGCAUAUGUACUUAUGGAUGAUGCAUAUUUUUCGUCAUAAAAAUAUUUUUGAUGUUUACAUCAUGAAGAAGAAAUGUGUAGUUCAAGCGCAAUUAGGCAAAUGUAUCAUGUCAAUUUUUGUCAUAGAGAUUUUGUGUCCUAUAUGUUUAUACAUACAUAUGGGUCAGAUAUGUAUUUUUGUAAAUACAUAUACAGAUAUAUAUAUAUAUGUUUUGUACUGUAAAUACAUAUACAGAUCUAUAUGUCUAUGUAUUUUGUAUAUUUUUUGAAUAUAUAUAUGUGUUAUAGAUAUGUGUCUUUUAAAAAUAAAAGCAAGAGAUAGAAGAAUAAAAAGAAAAAAAUAGAAAAAGAAAAAUCCAAAGAAAAAAAGUGAAAAAAAAGAGAAAUAAAAUUUAGAAAUACUGGAUAAAAAUAAAACAAAACAGAAAAGAAAUUAAAAACUAAAAAUAGAAAACAAAAAAAGAAGAAAACGAAAAUAGGAAAAGAAAAAGAAAAAUAUGAGAAAGGAAAAAAAAAGCGGAAAAGAAAAAAAACGAAAAAGGAUAAAAAAAAAAAAAGAAGAGAAGUAUAAGAGUCAAAAUAAAGUGAAAAGAAAAAGAAAAAGAAAAAGAAAUCAAAAUAAAAAAAUAAAACGAUAAAAAAAGACACGAAAAUAGGAAAAGAAAAAGAAAAACAUGAGAAAGAAAAAAAAAUAAGAAAACGAAAAAUUAGAAAAAAAAAAGGGAAAAGGAUUAAAAAAGAAGAGAAAUAGAAGAGCCACAUUAGGAAAAAAAAUCUUUAUAAUUAAAUGUAGCAUGAAUUAAGGACGGUUAUUUCCCUUAUUUAAUUCUAACUGAUGAGAGUUAAAAUAGGAACUAUUAUUCAAUUUGUAUAUAUAUUUAUAUAACAAUAUUUUACUUCAAUACAAAAUACAAUUUGAUAUUUUUCAUAAUUAUGAAACUGUUACUAUAAAAGUUAUAAUUAACACUACAGAGUAUACUUCUGAAAUUUUCUCAUAUUUUUUUAGACUAAGCGGGUCAAAUUGGACAGGUCAAUACCUAACCCAAUUUUUAGUCUAUUUCAACUCAAAGUAAAUUUGAACGAGUCAUGACCCAAUCCAAUAUCAAUUCAAUCCAUUUAAUAUCUUCAAUCUCAAUUCAACCCGCCCAUUUGACACCCCUAACCAUGAUGUUUUAUGAUGUUCAAUGAUUCAAGAUGUUACGUGAUACGAAAACAGAAAGAAGGAUCAGAGGGCCUUUUACUGCUUUUGGUCUGAUAUCAUGUUAGAUUAGAAACUCGUAUUGAAAAAUUUCUGUAUAUAUUCAUUGGAGGUAUCAUCCUCCAAUUAAACAAGCAUUUAUAUAGAAUAAAGAGAAAGUAAAUACUUGUAUAAUUUGUCUAUUUUUUUUUUCUAGAACAAAAUUUUCAGACAAAAUACAUUCUCUUUCUAUGCUAGUAUAUACACAGUUUAUACAAGCUAAAAGUUGUCAUUUGGACAGGUGGACGAAUUCAACAGUUGUCCAUUGACUGAGCUGGCAUUCUUUAUUCUUGCACUUGAACUUACAUGUUUUGAUAUGUUCAAAGUCUUCAGCCCCAACUCUGUUUCUUCUUUAUCAUUCUUUGUUGUGGACUUUGGUUGACAAAUUGACUUGGAUUGUUGAAGAAUUGAUGAUGAAUCUGAACUUCUGGUACGAGGAUAAGCUUGAUUCUCAAUACCUUCAACUAAUUGAAUUGUACACUUUUGAUCAUUUGCUUGCGUUAAAUUUGUAUUGUUGUUUCGCAGUUCGCACUAUAUUCAACAGCUAUACAUGGAAUUCUAUAAAUGGUGUCAAAUAUAAUAUAUUUUCUAUAUGAAGGAUCAAAGUUACACAUUUUAAUUAAUUGAAAGUUAAAUAUGUGGAGUCAUCUACUCAGAACUAGUUUUCUAUAAGAGUGAUUGGGUGCUUGUGAUAUGCUAAAACUGUGCAGGAGCAUGACAAACUUAAACCAAGGUCAAGGAUCACUGUACAUCUGGGCUAUUCCUCUGCUCAGAAACGCUAUGUCCUGUGUGAUUUCAACAAUAAAGUGUUCUUUGUUAUCAGGUAUAUCUAAUUUAGAAUGGAUACACUUCCAUCUCAGAUUUGGUAGAGACUCACAUUGAUUGGCUUAUGGUUUGUUUAUAUGGACUUGGACAAUUCUUCCCUCAUAAACUAACUUUUGGGGUUCAGAUAGACCCAAGUGUCAUAUCAAUUAUGAUCUACUCAAGCCAAUAUUCUCAAAAAGGAAAUCAGAACAUAUAUGUUCCUAAUAUGUCAAGAACAGGGACAAUGAACAUACCAACUCAAGACAAGCAGCACAAGCUAGAGACCUUCGUCGUUAUCUUUUAUCUUGCCUACGCAACGCCUAAAAAGAACCUCAGUUCGCUAAGGUCUUUGAUCUUGAAUUUCAUCCAUGCAUGCGGUUUCUGUUUAUUUGGGUUCGGUUUGGUUUGAUUUUAAAUUUUUAAAACCCACUAAUAUUUGGUUUGGAUGGAUUUUAUGGAAACAAACUGAAGAAAAAACCUAACCAAAGCAACAAAUUAUAUAUACAAUUUUCACAGUGAUAUAUACAGUUUUGCAAAGGUUGAAUUUAGAAUCAUGGCUUCCUACACCAUGAAAGAACAAACAUAUUGAGAUAGACUCUUUAACUUUGGUAGGGAGAGAACAAGUCAAGGAAUGAACAAGACUCAAACAUGUAUCCACUAAAGAUCAACUAGCAGGUCUGCAAAUCAAGAGCCCAGAAAGAACACAAUAUGAGCAUUAUCUUACGAACUAGGAGUGAAGAACAACAUUUUUGACAAUCAGCCUCAAGGGAAGUGUCAAAGUGACAUGCUUAGGAUACAAUACUGAGAGUAGAGCUAAAUCAUUAGCUAAGGGUUCGGCCAAACUCAAUAACUUUUGCUUAGGCCCUAUAUUUGUAAUUAAUACGACUUUUGGAUUCAAUGGAAAAAAACCACAAACUUCAUAUCGCGGUUCCACCUCUGACAAUACACAUAGAGCCGUGAUGGAUAAGUGGGUGACAAGUUUAUUAAUAUAGCUCUGUUAAGUUAAGUUAGAGGUUAGCUGAGCAAUGAUGUGUAUAAAUAGCUAGGUUACAAAGUCUUGUAUAUAUGUACUAAUUCAUUUAUUCUUCAAUCCAAAGUGUUGUUUUUCUCCCUUCUCUGAUAACUGCCAAAUUACAGAAUUCUCUCCAGUUCAAAUCGUUCCUCUCUUCUUCACCAAUGGCUUGGCUUCUUAACAAAAACUAAUUAGAUUUAGCGGAAGCAAAUACUUUGUUCCCAACUUCAAGAAUUGAGCUAGUCCUGGAGCUUUUUUUCUUUAAGAAAUUGGAGUACCAGAGUGCAGAAAGCUUUGGGUAUCUUGUUAAUUCUUUGUCAUCCAAAUCUACAUAGAAGAGUCCAAAGGAUGUCCUAUAGCCACUCAGUAGCUCCAAACAAUCUAAGAAAGACCAUCGGAAGUAUCCUCUUGUGUUUGAUCCAUUCCUGGUGGACAUGGACAAUAAAAAAAGGGGCAGUCCGGUGCAUUAAAGCUACCGCUAUGCGCGGUGUCCGGGGAAGGGCGCCACCACAAGGGUGUAUCGUACGCAGUCUUACCUUGCAUUUCUGCCGGAGGCUGUUUCCAAGGCUUGAACCCGUGAUCUCCUAGUCACAUGACAACAACUUUACCAGUUACUAUGCACUGAUGGUGUACAUGGACAAUAAUGGAAAUAAAUAAACUAAUUAUUGAAGUACUAUGCACUGAUGGUGUAAAAUAUAUUUACAGAAUCUGGUCAUUUAUAAGGCAAUUACGAAUAAAUUCAUAUAAUAAGCAUUAAUAGAUAACCUAAAAGCUAAUGCCUGAAAGCAGACAUAAGGUUAAACUCUAGAGCUUGUUAUAACUCCUCAAUGAUAUGAAAGAACUUACUCAAAUCCAUGUUUAUAUUAAACCCCAUCAGUUAAUCAUACUUAUGUAAUAUAUAGAGGUAAACAUAUACAUUAGUUAAUCAUAAUUAAGUGAUAAAAGCUUAUAUAGAAAGCAUAUGUCAUCAUUUUAUUAGCUUGGUGUAACACUAAAUGUGGUUACACUUUUUUUUGGUCAUAUUGCGAAUUUAUGGGCUUACCUCAGAGCAUCCAGCACACCUCCAAUGUAAGCAUGCAAUUCUACACGUUCUGAGUCCAUCAAUGUCCCAGUGCGCGGUGUCUGCUUACCUGCCAAGACAUGUAAUGCAGCUCAGAACAAGGAAAAGCUUCCGAAAAUCCUCUUCUAUGGACUGACUUUAAAAACUCAAUGUCAUAUAGAUGCAAAAUUUGUGAUAAAUCCAGUCAGAUAGUGUUAACUCAGAAAUCAACAAAAAUGGAGCAAAGAAGAUGAAAAUGAAGAACCCUUAAACCAAAGAGAGGAAAGAGUAACGUGUCUGAUACAAGCUUGUGGAAAAUGAAAAUAUCUUUUUCUUGCCCCUUCUUCUAGAGAUAUUUACAAUCAAAAUACAAGUAAGAAUGAAAUGGAAUGAGAUAAAUUCCACUAGAACUAAUUGGGCCGGAUCUCCUUAUUAGCAUGUGGGCCGUCCGGAUCAUUUUUAGGCCCAGAUAUCGUAACACCCCGUCUCAAGCUGGAGGGUGUGAAAACUCCAAGCUUGGGAAGUAAACAACGGUGAGCAGGCCCGGAAAGGGGUUUGGUCAGUAUGUCUGCCAAUUGAUCUGCACUAGGAACAUAAUGAAGAGAAAUCAGAUUAUAAUGAAGACAAUCACAAACAUAAUGACAAUCAAUUUCAAUAUUCUUCAUGCACUCAUGAAAGACAGGAUUCUUGGCGAUACUCAAAG